UAAAAAAAAUGUUUGAAGAGAAUAGUAUCUUAAGAGGAAAAAGAAAACAUAAGAAUGCUUUAGGGUUAAAUAAGUAUUAUAAUGUAGGUUUUUCUUUUAGUUAUAACUUAUUUAUAUUAGUUAAAUAAAAAGAAAAUUUAUUAACCAACAUUUUAAUUGAUAAAAUAAAAUUAUUGAAUAAAAACUAAAAAAAUAUUCAUUUAUAAUAGGAAUUGGGGUGGGGAUGGGGUAGGAAGUACAAAACCAACCCCACCCCAUUAAGAAUUUGAGAAUUAUUUUUUCCUCAUUCUCUACCCAUUCUUCAAAAAUUAUUUAAAAUUCACCUCAUUUAAGGUGGAGUCUAUCCUAUCAGUACUUUCAUGGCACGAAAUUAUUAUGCUCAGUGAUGAUUAUUGAUUUGUCUAAUUUUAGAUGAGUUAUUAUUUUGGAGAUCAGUGCUUUUGCUGCUAUGCUGAAAGAAAAGGAGCUAGAUUAUUCUUCUUUAUACUGCAUGAUAAAAUAUUUACUAAUAGUCGAUAUUCUAUCAACAAUUAUGCAAAGGAGUCCCUACUGAAAAGCUGAAUUUAGAAUUCAAUGAAAGUUUUAAUCAUUGUAGCAUCUUUAAUUUUCCUGUUUCGACUUCAAACUUUGUGUUACAUAUUUGUUAACUAUAAUAUUCUCAAAUAAAUUUGCAGUGGUCGGGCCCGUGCCAGUCAAAAACAGAAAAAAUAAAACAAAAGUUGAAAAAUCAUGCAGCCGACCACUACAAAUUAAUUUAAAAAAAAGUAGUGGAAUAUUAGGUAGGCGAAUGCGGUUCAUCGUUCAUAGGUCAUUUAAGAAAGUAAUCGCUCCCUAAUUAAUUCUUUUCUUUUAUCUAAUCAAGAAAAGGUAGCAUAUUGUUUUUUUUUUUUUGAUUUGCAAUUCUUUAAAACAAAAAAAAAACAUGAAUGAUUGAUCGAUAAUAUUCAUUUUCUAAGUUAUUUUAAUUAUUAAAAAAAUAUUACAUAUUUUAUUUAUAAUAUUAUAUUCAUAUUUAUUAUAGAACUUUAUUUUAGGUAAAUUUUAGUUGUUGUGUUUGAAUGAAUAGAUACUUAUUUAAUUCUUAUAUUUUAAGUUAUAUUCACGUUUAAUCUUUAUAUUUAAAAAAAAAAAUGAUAGGACUCCCCUAAUGUUAAUAUCUUACACUCUCCUGUUCUUACCUUUUAUUUCCUUUUUGUUUCCUAGCUUUUUACUCCACCACAUCAAUAAUUGUAUAGCUUCUCUGAUUCAUAAUAAUUAUGCAGACUACUCAGCAUCACCACUUGUAAAAUCUCUUAUAUUUGUAUUUCGCAAGUUGCAGCGCUUAAGAUAAGUAAUAAAAUAUUUGUAAACGACAACAAAAAGCUUUGAGCAAUCUAUCUAUGAACAUUCUGUAGUUAAAUAUAGUAGAUUAAUUUGAUCUAGAGUGGUCUCAGUAGGUAGAUUUUCUGAUUAUAAAUAUUAAUAGACAUUUAAUUGUUUGAGAAGUCGGAGUUAAAUCAAUUCCAUAAUCAUUUUAAUUAAUUAAGAUGAAUAUCAUACUAUGGAUUUGCCUCGUAUUACGAAGAAAAUGUACGAAAGAUAGUUAAGGAACAGCUUUUUUGAAAUUUUUUUCCAGGAGCUGAUAUUAUAUUAAAAAAUUGGGUGAAAAUAUAAGCUGAUAAUAUAUUAAAAAAUUGGGUGAAAUACAAGUAAAGGUAUUGCAGACUGAUCCGUUUAAGCUUGUGAGAGGACUCGUCGGUCGUCAAUUAUUUUCUCUCGUUCUUGGGAUACAUACAAGAAAAAAGUUCGAGGUGAGUUAUUAACAGUAAACCCAAACUGCCCUAUUUUAUUAAUAGCAAAUAGAAUAUUAGUACUCUUAAGGUGAGUAUUGACACGCUGUAUUUAUAUUAUGGUUUAUUUCAUCAGAAUGUACUACUUUGAGUUGUGAUACAAUACUAAAUUUGAUGUAUAUAAUAAAAUAAUAUUAUUUUUUGUUAAAAUUAAAUUAUUUUUAUUUAAAUAUAUUAAUAUUUAUUAUUAUUAAUUUUUAAAGAAGAAUUAAAUAUUCUUGUAUUUAAUUUUAUAAAUAUAAAAAAUUUAAUAGUAUAUUAUUACUAAUUAAUAAGAUAUUACAAUACUAUGUUAUUUUAUUAAUUCUAUUAUAUUACAAUAUAAUUUUAUUUAUAUGUAUUACUUUUUAUAAUAUAGUAUAAUCAUAUUAUAAUAUGGUAUAAUAUGAUUAUUAUGUAAUGAAAGUAAAAUAACGUACUACCAUUUAUUUAUUUAGGUUCAUUACUAUCUUAUAUUAUUAUUACUUAAAUUAAAUUUUAUUUAAAUACAAAUAUAAAUUAAUAUUUAAUAAAUAUAAAUUUAAUAUAAUUAUAAAAUAAUAAAGAUUAAAUGAUUAUACUUAAAAUAUGAACAAUGUUUUAAUACAAUACAGCCUAAAUUCUAUCUCCGCUUAGUUUUAUUUUUAUACCUUUCAUUGUAUUACCUAUCUUUUUAAUAUUGUGCAAUGCAACUAGAAAUUUCAGCCGAAGGAGGGUUAGCAUAAGAACCAUCUUUUUAAUAUUAUGAUGUAUUGCAUUAUUUAAUAAGGGUCAUUGUAUUGUCACUAUAUUAUACUAAUAUUGUAUGAUGUUUUGUGUUCCACUGUAUUGUAUUAUCUAAAAUAAUAUUUUAUAUAAUUAUUUAUGUGAAAUUAAUAUUAUGUAUAUUUAUUAAUGCUUUAUAUCAUUAUUAUAUCACAUUUAUUAAUUUAAUUUACAAACAAAAAAAUAAAUCACUGACAGCCACAUCAACCAUCGCUAAUCACCACGAAUCAGCGCCGACACCACAUUUUGGUUUUAUUUGAUGUUAUUUUUGGUAUCGUAAAAAUCCUCAUCGGUGGAGGACUGCAACGUACAUGUUUCACUGGAAAUAGAGCUUCCGGUCACUAGAGAUCUAUAGACAAAGUUUUGAUGUUCAAAAUUUUGACCAUAGAUUUAUGGCGAAAGGAACCUCGGUUCUGAUCAAACAUAUAUUGUUGUAAUGCUCAAACAACGAGAUCCAACAAUACUAAAAUAAACUCAAAUAGACAUAUAAAUCUAGCUGCCGAUUUUUGCGAGAGUGAUUUCAAGCAGUUGCCAUUGCCGAUUAAUAUUAAAUAGUAAUUAUUAUUGAUAAUAUAAUUUUAUUAUAUUAUUUUGUAUUUAUAAUAACUAAUAACUAAAUGUAAAUUCAUAUUAUAUAUUUUUAAUUAUUUUUUAAUUUUAUUAUAAUAUUAUAAUAUUAUAAUAUUUUCUUUUCUUUUUUAGUUAGUGUGCAGUUCUAAUAUGCUUCGGUGCUUGCUGCUUUAAAUUCGAAAAUAUAAACUUAUUAUUAUUUUAUUUUUUAUUAUAUUAAAUAAUUAUUUUAUAUAAAUAUGAUGUGGUAUUAUUAAAUAACAUAAUAAAAUUGAAAAUAACUAAAAAUACAUAAUACGAAUUUACACUUAUUUAUUAAUUAUUAUGAUAUAAAAAUAAAAUAAAAGGUAGAAUAUAAUAUAAAUAGUAUUGUAAUAUAAUAUAAUUUUAUUAAAUUAUUAGUUCGAUUUUAUAUUAAUUAUCAAUAGCUUUUGCUCAUUUAUAUAGCAAAAGCUAAUGCGUCAACUUGCGCAGUGCACUAACUCCAGCUCCCCCGGGUUUGUGUAAUGCACCAAAAUUUAUAAUGCGGGCAUUAUAGACAGCUCCACAACGCAACUUCGAAAUUUGCCAAACAUGGGUCGGUAACAAGUUUUGAAGCCCCAAAAAUUCAAUAAACAGUACCUCAGUGCUUGAAGCUCUAAGUUACCAAAAAUGAAAUCAAUUUUUAAGUCAUUGUUGUUGCAAAACAAAAGUGUAAAGGGAAAGUUGACGAGUGUUUCUUAAACACUACUAAUUGUCAAGUUAAAACUGUUUGGUAUGCUAUUUAGAACUUAUGCUUUAGUAAAUAGUUGUGGGCAAUAAUCGGUUACCUUGCCAAAACCAAAUUGCAAUUAUUUACUAAAACACUUAUCUUUGGCAGCAGAGUGACCAAAAAGCUCAUACAAACAGAGCCUCAAUCCAGCUGGGUUAAGGGUUCCAAUGAAAAGUAAAUUUUCUCUAACAGACACACUUUUCCGAAAACUAAGAUUUAUUCUGAAGAAAUCUCAAAAGAUUUAUUCUAGAUAAUGUAAAGCCGUAAAUGUGACACAGGCGUGUUUUAGAUUUACUCCAAGAGACAAGUACAAUCCAAGAUUAUCACUCCAAUUGUUUCAAUUGAUUGUAUUUUUCUAGACAUAAUUAAAUUACGUAUAAAAUAUAUAUUGUUAGAAAGGUGAAUAUAUAUGUCUAGUUUUUGAAGAAUUUUAUGGAAUUAAAUUCAAACUUCUGUUCUUAAAGAAAUUCAUGACUUUGUCAAUGAAGGUUACAACUGUUAGGAAUUCUACACAUAGCAAAAAAGUUUUGAAUUUAAUGGCAUUAAUGCAUCAAGAUCUAAUUAAGAAGCUUCAAAUCAGUGAAAAGCUUUUGAGUCAAGAGUUCAAUGAAUUUUACAUGUUUGAUUUGGAGUUUUCUACAUUAAGAUAUGAUUAAACGAGUGUUGACUGCUUACACUUGCGGUUGAAACCGACCUUGAUGUCAAAUUGUAUUUUGCUUUGUUUUCUUUCACCUCAUGAUAGCUAAGACCUGUUAUUCAAAUUUGAUUUGAAUUCUAAAUGAUAGAGAUCUUAUCCUAAGUUCGGAGGGAUGUUCCAAGUUGUCUAUACAAAAAAGUAUUACAUUGUAACUUUACAAAACAGGGUGAUUAUGAGAAUGUAACUUAGAAGAGUGCUCUUGUUAGGGUUUCUUCAUGCAACUCUAUAUCUCUUGGUUCGAUUCCUUAGAGUGGUGAGUUGAGAAGUGCGGUAUCUCUUGUAGGAUAUCAUUAGAUGGUGAAUAUCUAUAUCCUUUUGUAAUCCUCUUAAAUGGUGAGUUUUGGUAAGUUAGAGAGCCUUGUAUCUCUUGUAAAACAUCAUUGGGUGGUGAAUAUCCCAUUGUAAUGAGCUUUGCUCUGGCCUUAUCUACGUGUGUGUUUUACUUAAUAAUGAAGUGAAAUACUAACUAGGCAACCCAAGAGGGGGGGUGAAUUGGGAUUUUAAAAUUUAAGCUAAGCAAACCACACAACAAUUUAAUCUAUUGCCUUAAUCAAAUUGAAAACAAUAAAUUCAAUCAUGCACAAUAUUAAAAGAGUAAGGGAAGAGAAAACAAACACAAUGAUUUUUACGUGGUUCGGCAAUCCCCGCCUACGUCCACGCCUCCAAGCUCACCGGGCUUGAGGAUUUCACUAAGCUAGCCUCCCAAGGCUUCAAACGCUUACAAUUGACUUCCAAGGUGUCAAUAGACCUUUACAACAAGAGAUUAUCCCCAAUCUCUUAACCCAAGUGUAUCCCAACACUUACAAUCUUUUAACUUGAUUUUACAAAAAAGAUUACAAAUGAAUCUCUCUCAGACAAUGUGUUUGAUCACAAGUGAAAGCUCAAUGUGUGAAUGAAUGAGAUGAAUACAAGAAUUUAAAGCUCAAUGAAAGUUGUAUUCUCGGUAUUUUGCUCAAUGAUGAUCGUUGGAAUCCUUCUUGUUUGAAUUGGAUUGAGCUUAUUUAUAGUUGGAGUUGAAAACUAGCCGUUAUUGACUUUCUGCACACUGUCGGAUCGCCGCUAACUAGAUGUCGGAUCGCCGUUUGACUGGUCAAUAUGACCGUUGGGUUGAUAUUUCAAAUUGUCGGAUCGCCGUUAUCUAGAUGUCGGAUCGCCGUUUAGGUCCAGAGGGUAAUCUUCAGUUCUGUUAGAUAUCGGCGAGCCGUUUAUCAAAAUUGUCGGAUCGCCGUUUAGGUCCAGAGACUAAUCUUCAAUUCUGUUAGAUGUCGGUGAGCCGUUAUCAAUAUGUCAGAUCGCCGUUUUCUAUAGUAAAUGCUACAGUGAAAUAUUUUUCAAAUUUACAGUUUGAUCCCAAAACUUUAUAAAACUGUGUUACGGCCCAAACAGUUAUAAAACUUUGCAAAUAGGUCCAAUUUCAGAAUUUCUAAGUAAUGCUUUGUUAAACCCAAAAAUUUCUAAAAUUAUGGUAUAGCCAAAAAUGCUAUGACACUUUUCAAAUAAGUCAUUCUCCAAAAUUUCAAGCAAUACUUGUUUAUUUCAAAGUAUUCAAAAUUCUUUCAAUUAAACCAUAAACUUUGAAAAACAACCAAUUUCAUAAAAUCAUUUUUCCAUUCAAUAUGAAACAUUUAUAAUGUGAAAAUAAUGAUUUAUUUAAAAAGAAUAAAAACAAUCAAUUUCAUAAAAUCAAUUUUCCAUUAAAUAUAAAACCUUUAAAAUGUGAAAAUAAUGAUUUAUUUAAAAUGUAUAAAAAAUAAUUUGAUCUUAAAAGAUUAAUCAUUCUUAAUCUUGUUUGUUAUCAUCAAAAUCAAUAUUAUGGAAACAUAUAUGUUAACAUGAAGUUCAGUUUAUAAUUAGGCCAACAUCAAAAUGGCAUUAGAUGUUUGUUGUAUUCUUCGCUUUCCUUUGAGACAGUCCAAAAUUUGCUAAAGUUUUCACAACAAAAGUAGGAUGUGAUGUCCUUUAUAUGUUUUUGUUAGAAAGGAAACAGACAAAAUGCAUUUAGCAUUGUCAAAGCAAGGAUAGAACAACGCAAAUUUUUUUGACAAAUAGAGCACCAUUUGAUUUGGAAGAAAAGCUGGAAUAAUAAACAAGCAGAGAUCAAAACUGAAAUCAACCCAAAAUCAAAGAAGAAAUGUGGAAAGGAUACCAAUACAUUGGACAUUUGAAGAUACAUAGUUUGAAUGUUAGACUGAGUAUAAGUAACCUCCUAACCGAACUAAUGUUAUGAAUUGGUCAAUUUUAUUCUCUGUAGGCCCAUGUUCGAACAUAGGGAAGCUAAAUGCCCUUUUAACAAUACCUUCUUUAAUUCUGCCUGGAAAUUGUGAUAGGACUUUGGGCUAAAUUAGGGCUGACUUUUAUUGAUUAGAUCAAAAGAAAGAACAAUCCUAACCUACCUCUCUCAAAACUCCUAAUUAUUCCUACCACUAGACAAAACUCAACAUAAAUCCUAAAUGACUCCUUAAUCUCUUAUUUAUACCCGAGCCAAAAUUAACAAUAAAUAAAAUUACUAAACUGGCCCUAGCCCUAAAAUUACUAAGUUUUUCCCACCCUUUAUAAAAUUACUAAACUGGCCCUAUCCCUAAACUGACUUUUAUUGAUUAGAUCAAAAGAAAGAACAAUUCUGACCUACCUCUCCCAAAACUCCUAAUUAUUCCUACCACUAGACAAACUCAACAUAAAUCCUAAAUGACUCCUUAAUCUCUUAUUUAUACUCGAGCUAAAAUUAACAAUAAAUAAAAUUACUAAACCAGCCCUAUCCCUAAAAUUACUAAGUUUUUCCCACCCUUUAUAUUUGCGGCUAACAUAAGUUUUAUUGGUCUAACAUUACUCCUCUCUUAAAAAUACACCUCGUCUUCAAGGUGAAAUCAAGGAAACUGCUGUUUUUUCUUCCUUGGCUUCUUCCCUACCUUCCUUCUCAUCACACGUAGUUAGGACUUGUAGUGAUUUAUCCUUACAUCGAUGACUCGAUGAAAAUUUCUCAUCGCAUUGAAAAAACAACCUCAUUGUCCUCUUAUCUUGAAUCUCUGUCUCUGUGAGCCAUUUGAAAGUCACCCCUAGUCGUGCUCGACUAACCCGAUCCCUUUAGGAAUCUCUUUAUAACCCCAUCAUUUGCAUUUUUUAGCCUUCUAAUGGUGUGCUUUGGAACUUUGGCUGAAACCCCAAAGUUUGGGUUUUCUGUCCUAUCAAUGGUGUGCUUUUUUGGUAUGAAAAACAGACUAAACUGCUCAUAUUACCCCGUUCUAUUGUGUUCUUAUCAUUAAUCAUCUGUGCCAGCUCCAUUGACUCCUCUAACCCUCUCUACCCUAACAAGUGUAGUGAGCUCAGAUUUCUGGCUUCAGUUCCUUCAUAAAUUUCCCUUCCAAUACUGCCUCUUGGAUUCCCCCAAAUACCCUGAUAGCAACUCAAACUUCUCCCUAUACUCCAUGAUUGGUCUUUCCUAGGUUAGAGCAAAAAACUAUUCAUACAAAUCUCCCUUUUAAGUGGCCUAAAGCUUUUCUAAUAGUCGGUCCUUGAAUUCACCCUAUAAAUCAAUGAUUGUCAUUGUUCUCGCCAUUGAAACCAUGCAAGGGCCUUUCUCUCCAAGCAUAACGCGGCCGUCGUCAGCUUUUUCCUUUUUAAGAGUCCAUUCAUGGUGAAAAGAGUGUUCUAUCUUAUACAUCCAUCCAUAGGCAUCCUCGCCUUCAAAAAUAGGCAUUAUUAGUUUCCUUACCCUAGAAUCUACCCCAAAUUGAGUCUGUCCUGCCCGAUUUCGCACUAUUAGAGGCCUCUAACCUCUCGAAUCUACAUCAAUUUCACAAAUCUUGAGAUUUAGCCCCAAAUUCUCCUAGUCCAGCCCCAUAUUAGGCUGAAAUCCCUUGCCCAAUUGUUUUAUGGUAAAAACCGCUCUUUCUCACAUCGAAAACCCCUCUUCCCGCCCAUCCGGCCCUAAAUCCGAACUAUCCAGACCCAAAAUCGCCCUGGCUUGGCCCAAAGCAACCCUAUAUCUUAUGUUGGAAAGAUAUAUCAUUUAAAUCCUACUAUUUCUAAAAUAUAACUAAUUCAAACUUUAUGUGUGUCAUUAAUUAAAAUCAUCCUCUAAUCUAUUUUUUAGAAAAUAAAACAAAAUCUCAAUAAUAAUAUUUCAUAAAACAAGCAUAUUUCAUGUUAACCCAACCAAAAACCAUCCGAAAACCUCCUUCUACACAUAGUUACAAAGAAAAUCUCACCCCAAUCCAUUAAAAUUGUCAAAUUUAAACAAAAAUUAUAAAUUUUGAAAUAAAAAUCCCAAAAUUUAUAAAAAAGGAAAAUAUUUUUUUUUCCCUCUCUUCUACUUUCUUCAUCUUCUUCGUUCUAUUCCCUGUUCAUCUUCUUCUUCGUUCAUUUUUUUCUUCUCUUUCACACACUUAACAAAUCCACAACCACUGUUAAUUUCAAAUUAGCCCAGCAAAACCCAUGUCUAUUGCCUGGCAAAAGCCAUGGCCUCGCACUGCCAUGUCCAGCAAAACCCAUGGCUACGCUAGCAAAAUCAUGGCAGCUGGGCACGGGCAUUCCAAGCAAGCCCAUGGAUGCAUGCAGCCAUGCCAAGCAAACCCAUGGCUGUGCGCGGCCAAUCCAAGCGAGCCCAUAGCUACGCGUUGCGACCAUUCCAAGCAAUCCCAUAGCCAUCAGCAACCAUUCCAAGUAAGCCCAUAGACGUGCGUAGCCAUGCCAAGCACACAUUGAUCCAAGCAAAUGGUUGUUAAUGUUGAGAGAUGAACAAAAUCUGAGGUUAUGACUAUGUUCGACAUGUCGGUUAUUCAACCUGGUAAUCGAUGAUGUGUCGGUUAUCUCGAGUAAGGAAGCCAUAUGACAAAGUUGUUCCGUCAGUUGAGUGAAUAAGUUGAGCAGGUGAUAUAACACGUGCAUUACUUACUCAAAACGUUAGAUGAAGACAGCAUUUCUGAGGUGAUUGCAACGUGUCCAAAAGCUAGUUUAAAUGGCUAGUAAAAGCUGUUGAAAGGCGCGGGAAAUUUCUAGGUUUGUUGCUAACAAACCCAGUAACGUUGAGCUGGCUUCUGGGGUAUUUCUAAAAGCAAUUUCGUGUUGUAUAAAGCCUUGUGAGUUGUUAUAUGGGAUUAAUGCAGAGGGUGACAGUUUCUCAGCUUCUUUUGUAUCUUGUAAAGGCCAGAUUAGUAAAAAAGCUUGCUUUCCUUUUCACAGUGGAUGUAGGUCACCUGUGUGGCUAAACCACUAUAAUCCUUUUAAGUCCUUGUGUGUGUGUUUUUAGUUCUUUAUCUGAUUCGAUCUCUGAUUGUUUCAGUAUCUGUGUCUUCAUCAAGAUUGUGUUGAUUAUUAGCCAUUCUUAGGUCAAAGAGAUUUUGAGUGGAUCUCAGGGGAUCAAGAUCGGUUUCUUACUAGUUUUGGUCCAGCAGUUAAUAAUUUUCAUGAUUAGUCUGGUUUUGGGGUUCACUAAUGAAUUUGGGAAGAAGCUAAGAUUUGUUGAAAAGGAGAUGAUGGGCCAAGACUUGGAAUAGUGGCGUUGCUGCACCAUCGCGCAGCUCCAAACUUCACUGCAAGUUGCUGGCAUGGCUACUGUGGCCUUAUGAUGCUUGGCGAAGAUGAAGCGUGGAGAACAUGUAGAAAACGGUAAGAAAUAAAAAAAAAGGGAAAAUGAACCGAACCAGAUAAAGAAAUUAACCAGAAAAUAAAAAAAAAAAGAAAAAAGUUAAAAAAAUUAUUUUUCUUAUUUUAAAAAGAAAUAAUUUUUAUGCUUUUGCAGUUAAAAAAUUAACUAAUUAAAAAAUAAAAAUUAUAAAUUUGGGUACAAAGCGAAUUUUAUUGAAAUGUUUGAGUGUGCAUUGAAAUUUGUUGAAACAUUUGGGCCAAAUGGUUCUUAAGAAAGAGAACCGAAUGUGAAAUGAAUUUUGUAAUCGAAUCAAAACGAAUCAAUUAAAAUAUUUCAAUUUGGUUCGAUUCGGUUCAAUUUUACAGUUCAGUUCAGGUUCAAUUCGUAUUAUGCCAAUUUGGAAAACACUUCUAAGAAACAGAAACAAAAAUAGAAACAUCAUGAGAAUUCAAAAGGAAAGAAACUGAGAGAAAAGAAACGAAACUCCAUUGAGCCAAAGAACAAGAGGCGGGGGUCUAUGUGUAUAGAGAGAAUUCAAUCACACAAGAACAAGAAACAAAAGUGGAGACAUCAUGAGAAUUCAAUCACCGUGAGAUUGCGAGGGAGAGACCAAGAGAGUUUGUUGUGCCGCCGCCGACCUUGAGAGAGAUGGCUGCCGAUUUAGGGUUAUGAAACAUUUAAGAUUAGGAAUUGAAAAAUGAAAAAAAAAAUAUUUUAGGCAUUUAUAUUUUAAAAUAAAUAUAUUUUUUUAAUUAAGUUGAAGCGAACCAAUCAGUUUGUCAGUUCAAACUAAACCGAAUACAAACCAAUUGAUUCGUUUGUUUUCAAACCAUUCGGUUUCUAACUUCUAAACCGAACCGUUGCCCGCCCCUACAUUUGGGUUUUGUGGAAAUUGCCUUUUAUGUUUUGACUUCUUAUCCAUGAGUUGACUGUUAAGAGAAUGUACAAAUAUAAUUUUAUGCUUUCACUAGUUAAAUUUAAUGGGAAGAAAACAAUAUUUGGAGAUAAGUUGAAGUUUUUAUACUUUUAAGGGUAAAUUAAAGUUUAUCAAUCUAAUAAGGGAUAGAAUACAAUUUACCCUUAUUUUUUACUCUAAAAUAACAAAUUAUUACUUAACUAAACAUAUUUCACUAAUGCUCCUUAUUUCCUACCAAACGGUGGGACUUGGCCUUGUGCCCAAAAUUCAUAAUCUAAUUUUAGCUGAUGUGACAUGUGUGCCGUAUGACAUAACUGUAGAUAAUAAUAGCUAACACAUUAACGAAAAUUAAAAAUACUAGUUUACAAAAUACAAAUCCGAAUUUUGUGUGUGAGGGAAUUUAAAAAUGGAGAGACUAAAAAAAUGUGGUGACAAAUGACAUUUAUUACCAAAAUUGAAAAUACAAAGUUUAGGCAACUGAAAGCAUCUCUUCAAUUGCAUUCAACCAAUUACCACCAUUCAUAAUUAACCAAAAUCAAAUAAAUUAAAAAAAAAAACACAAAACAAUCACAACACUUUGAUCAUCCCUGCUUUUUCUUCUUAGCAUAGCUCUUGGAAUAAAAAUUAACAAAAAGUGCCAAAAGGGACGCAUUAAACACAGCGUUGAAGCACCAACCCCAAAUCUCAGAGCAACCAAAACCCGUGAAAUGAUAAUACAGCAUCAAAACCGAAACAACAAAACCAAACACAAACUGAACAAUCUGACAAUCAGUGACCAAUCUCUUCCACUUUGGCCGCAACCCCAUCACACACAACAGAUAGUACCCGUACAUGAUCACAUGCACACUUGCAUUGGUGACAAGUGCAAUAGGAAACAAAGACUGCUUCGUCUGUAACCAAAGGUAGCACAUUACAACGACGGUUGUAUGGUGGUAGACGUGGAGGAACGUGAGCCGUUGGACGGAGUUUGACAAAAUGAUCAAAAGGGUGUCUAAGAAUUCGAGUAUUUUGGAGAGUUAGAAGAUGUAAGCGUAGAAGAAGAGAGGGCCAGACGGAGAAAUGGUAGGGGGGAAAUAGAGGGUGUAACGGAGGUGGGGUAAAUGGAGGAUGAUGGAGAGAGUGCAACCAACGGCUAUGAUGAGGGAGGAGAGGAGGAGGGUGAGGUUAUGGACGGCUAUGAUGGGCUUGAGGAUGUGGGGUCCAAUGAGAGGUGAUGAUGGUGGUGAUGUUGAUGUUGAUGCGUGGUAGAGGAUGAAUGUGAGGGAGAGGUAAGUGAGGAUGGAGAGAAUGAGGAAGUGUGGGGAGGAAGCUAGUGUUUGGUUCUGAGUCCAUGUGAAGUUGAGGAUUUGGGGGUGGUUUAUAGCAAAUAUUGGAGUGUUGCGGUAAUUGAAUAUGAAGCCAUGGCUGGUUUUUUGGGGGAGAAAGAUUUGGAAGAGAUGAUGUUCAGAGGAACGGGGGAAUUUAUAAAGUUUUGGGAUAAUGCGGAGGGUAUUUUGGACAUAUUGUUAUCUUAGCUUAAAUUUUAGGAAAAAGAUAAUCAAUAAUAACCUCUUUUUUCAUGUCAAUUUAAAACUCCGAGUGUGGAAGUUUUCCUUCGAAUAGCUCUCUCUCUUUUAGAGAGGCUUGAAUGGAAAAAUAUUAAGGGGUCGUAAGGACUCAGGUGGUCACUCCUAGUGAGUGGAAAGUAAUCUAAACCAGCAAGCUGUUGGGAUUGAUGUGCUGGUGGAGAAAGUUUCGAAGAGCCAAAGGUAGUGUAAAGCGUUGGGGUACGAGUCAAAGCAAGCAAGCUGAAAGAACUCACUAUCAGCUCUAGCGUUAUUUGCCAUGGACACUGAAGAGCUAAUUCGCAAGUGUCAAGCAAUAAAUAUCAGAGAGGAAGACAAAGCCAAAAUAACACUGGAGGUGACUCUGGAAAAAAAGAAAGAACUAAUGAUGGCAGGCUGCUUAGUGGGUAAAGUAAUGCUCGCGAAGGGAGUAAAUAAAGAGGGUCUCAAGGCUGCGUUACAGCAGGUGUGGAGGACUUUCAAAGAAGUCAAAAUCGAAAGCGUGGGAAACAACAUCUUCAUGUUUAAAUUUGCUGAGGAAGCAGACAAGAAAAGAGUGCUAAAAGGGGGACCAUGGCACUUCGACAGGGCAUUGAUUGUACUCGCUGAGCCAAGGGGGAUUGGGGAAGUCGCAAAACAAUCCUUUACUCAUACAUCCUUUUGGGUGCAGAUUCGUAAUGUUCCACUAGCGUGUAUGGAUAAAGAUUUUCUCCGGGAGCUGGGUGAGAAGCUAGGAUCAGUUGAAGAGGUCCAAACUGAUGAUAAUGGAGAUUGUAUUGGGGAAUAUGCCAGAAUAAGAGUUUCAAUUAAUAUAACAUUGCCGCUAGAGAGGAUUCUAUUUCUAAAGCGAGAAGGUGAAACUGAUAUCCCAAUGCCAGUGGUCUAUGAACGUUUGCCGGAUUUUUGUUAUUGCUGCGGCAUCAUAGGACAUCAAUACAAAGAGUGUGGCAAAUACCAAGACCAACCAAGAGAAGAUUUACCAUAUGGGAGCUGGAUGAAAGCGAUUACGGUAGGGGGCUUCACAAAGAGGAAUCAGAACCAGGGAAGGUGGAACUAUGGGGCUGGAAAAUCGGAUGAAAAAUCAGCAAGCUCAGAAAAUCACAGCUUCCAGCAGCAGCAAGGGCAAAACAAAGAAAACCCGAUAGAGGCAAACGGGUCGGUACAAAAUGAGAAGGAAAUGGGGCAAACCAUGGAGCAUGCUAAGAAUGAUGUGAUAGGAGGAGUAGCUGAGCAACAAUUAAUGCAAGGAGUGUCACAGUCAGCGGACAAAAAACAAACUGACGGCCACAAGCAAGCUAAGAAAAGUGGCAAUGCAACAGUCCCAAGAAAAAUGGGCACACAAGCGGGAAAUGGUAUCCUAAACGAGGGGGAAAAAAUGCAAAUAAGUCAUGAAAAGGAAGCUGGAAAAAAUGAUGGGCCGGAAGUCUCUCAGCUACAGCCCAAUAAGAGAAAGUGGAAGAGAUUACUUAGAGAGCUAAGUGAAGGGGGGGAAGAAAUGGAGGUACAAACUCGGAAAAGGCCAAGGGGGAAAAAACUCUGGCAAAGCCCAAGGAAAAAAACAAAACUCUCCAACUCAAACCAGCUCGAGACAAAAAAUCUGAUGCAUGUUUCUUCAACAGCAAGUCUUCAGCUGGGGUGGGAACCACUGAUGCUGGAAGAGGUGGUAGUUAUGGAAGCAAACAACAUGGAGAUAGCGGCGGAGGCUGGUGGCCAGCCCCGCCGAAAACCAUGAAUAUCCUCAGCUGGAAUGUUCGGGGUUUGGGGAAUCCCCGAGCAUUUCAAGCCUUAAGAAAAAUCCUCCAGUUGCAUGGUGCUCAGCUGGUGUUCUUGUGUGAAACAAAGGUAUCAACCAUGCAAAUGAAUGUAAUUGCAAGUAAGCUGAGCUUCGAGAAUUGCCUUGCGGUAAACGGUAAUGGAAGAGGAGGCGAAAUAGCAAUGCUCUGGAAGUCAGAUAUUGAGGUGCAAAUCAAAUCAUACAGCCAGCACCACAUUGAUGCCGAAACUCAAAUGCCAAAUGGGAAUCAAAUGCGAAUUACAGGAGUGUAUGGGCAUCUGGAAAUAAGCCAGAAAAAGCACACUUGGACGCUCCUCAGACGGCUGGCGGUUUUAUCUUCUAGUCCUUGGUUGUGUUGUGGAGAUUUUAACGAAAUUUUACAUCCAAAUGAGAAGAGGGGCGGCAAUGACAGAAAUGUGAAUUUAAUUAAUGAGUUUAGAGAAGUCUUGAGAGAUUGUGGCUUAAAGGAUGUCGGGUUUCGGGGGUAUGCUUUUACUUGGAAUAAUGGAAGAUAUGGGGAGGGUUUUGUGGAAGAAAGGUUGGACAGAUUUGUUUGCUCUAAAGCUUGGAGUGAUAGAUUUGUGGACUGUGCAGCAAGUAAUCUGGACUCCUGGACUUCGGAUCAUUGUCCCGUGCUGAUGGUUGUUCAAGAGAGAAGGGAGGGUAUGAUCCAAAGGGGUAGACAUUCCUCGCGAAUCCAUUAUGAGGAUAUGUGGAGUUCGUAUGACGGAUGCAAAGAGAUAAUUAAGGAGGAAUGGGGGCUGUAUAGAAACUGGAGCAGUGAAAAUUCAGCCCAAUCCUUUCGACAAGCAACAAAAACUUCGAUGGGUAGGCUGCUGGGGUGGAGCAAGAGGGAAUUUAGAAAGCGUGACAGAAAAUUAGAGAAGCUGAAGGUUCAGCUGAGGGAGUUAAAACAAAGAAGGGUGCAAUUUGUAGAUGGUGAGGAAAUUCGGAAGGUGGAGAAGCAAAUUCAAAAUAUUCUUAUGGAUGAAGAAAUCUACUGGAAGCAACGUUCAAGAGCAGAUUGGCUCAAGGAGGGGGACAAAAAACACAAAAUUUUUUCACGGCAAAGCGACGGCAAGAAGGAAAAAAAACAGAAUUUGGGGGAUUGAAGAUAAUUUUGGGAAAUGGAUUGAAGAGCCAAUCAAAGUAGAGCAUGAGUUUUGCAACUAUUUCACCAAGCUUUUUACAUCAACCCAGCCGAGACAAGAUCAAAUUGCAGCAGCUUUGGAAGGAAUAACUCCAAGAGUUUCAGCCAGUAUGAAUGAGAGUCUGGGGGCACCUUUUACAGCCGAGGAAGUGUUGGAAGCGCUGAGCCAAAUGUGCCCAACAAAGGCUCCGGGGCCGGAUGGUUUGCCAGCCGUGUUUUACCAAAAGCAUUGGCAUUCGGUCAAGGAGGGAGUGCUCACCACUUGUCUGCAUAUCCUUAAUUCACAAGGUACCAUCGGCCCUCUAAACCACACUUACAUUGCUUUGAUACCAAAAAUCGGAAAGCCUAGGAAAGUGACAGAUUUUAGGCCUAUUAGUUUGUGCAAUGUCAGCUAUAGAAUUGUUGCUAAAACAGUUGCUAAUAGAUUUAAGCAAGUUUUGCACAAAAUCAUCUCUCCAUCGCAAAGUGCCUUCAUUCCUAAUAGGCUGAUCACUGACAAUAUAAUAGUUGGCUAUGAAUGUUUGCACAAAAUUAGGCAUUGUAAAAGCAAGCGAAAUGGAUUAAUUGCCUUAAAGCUUGAUGUUAGUAAAGCUUAUGAUAGAUUGGAAUGGAAUUUCUUAGAGCAAACUUUGGAAAAAUUAGGCUUCUCGCAGCAAUGGAUUAGCUUGAUUAUGAGGUGCAUUAGUUCGGUUUCAUUUUCAGUGUUAAUAAAUGGUGCAGUGAAAGGCUUAAUUAAACCUCAAAGGGGCUUACGUCAAGGAUGCCCCCUCUCCCCAUAUUUGUUUAUUACAUGUGCAGAGGCCUUUUCAUCUUUGCUGCAGCAAGCUGAGCAACAACAACUCAUUCAUGGGUUAUCUUUUGGAAGCAAUCUGAAGAUUUCGCACCUCCUUUUUGCCGAUGACAGCCUGGUCUUCAGCAGAGCCUCCAUGGCCGACUGUCACAACUUGAAGAUGAUCCUUGAGUGUUACUCCACAGCUUCGGGCCAAAUUUUUAACUUCGAGAAAUCUUCCCUUUUUAUCAGUGGCAAUGUACAGCAAGAUCAAACUGAGGCUCUUGGGAAUCUAUUUCAGCUCAAUAUUGUGUCGAGACAUGAGAAAUAUCUAGGCUUGCCAUCGAUGAUUGGGAGAAAGAGAAGCAGUUUUUUCAAUGACAUCAAGCUGAAGGUUGCUAAUAAGAUCUCAAGCUGGCAGCAUAAAUUCUUUUCUUGCGGAGGGAAAGAAGUCUUAAUCAAAGCGGCUGUUCAAGCUAUCCCAGCCUACGCAAUGAGCGUCUUUAAAAUUCCAGGGGGUGUUUGUGAUGAUAUUCAAAAGAUGGUGGCAAAGUUUUGGUGGGGCUCCAAGAGGGAAGGGCGGAGUAUUCACUGGGCGAAGUGGGAAAAACUGAGCCAAGCCAAGUGUUUGGGAGGGAUGGGAUUUCGUGACUUCUCAAGUUUUAACUGAGCUCUUCUAGCAAAGCAAGGCUGGAGGAUUCAGCAAUGUCCAGAUUCGCUGGUGGCAAGGGUCCUGCAAGCUAGAUAUUUCCAGUCAACCAAUUUCUUGGCUGCUAAACUCGGCUCAAACCCCUCAUAUAUUUGGAGAAGUCUUCUGUGGGGGAGGAAAAUUAUUUGCGCGGGCUCUAGGUGGAGAGUUGGCAAUGGUCAGAAAAUUCAUGUUCAUAAGGCUAAUUGGAUCCCACGGGCUUAAACUUUCCAGCCAAUAGUUAAGCCAUCUCUGCCCCCUGAUGCUAUGGUCUCGGAAUUAAUCACUGAGGCAAACUGUUGGGAUGAAAAGAGGAUUUAUGAGCAUUUUGACCAUAUGGAUGCUGAUUUAAUUGCUAAGAUUCCCCUGCCUCGAAGUCCAAGGGAGGAUGAGCUGAUUUGGCAUUAUGGAAAAAAUGGCCAAUUCUCGGUUAGAAGUGGAUACCAGACAGCUCUCCAAAUGAAAUUUCCAGCCAUGGCUUCAAGCUCAGUGGUUUCCAAAAAUGAGUGGAAUAUUAUUUGGUCCCUUGCUUUGCCUCAAAAGAUCAGAAUCUUUGCUUGGAGAGCAGCCAAAAACCAACUCUCAUCAGCUGAGAAUCUGUGGAGGAAAAAAAUAAUCCAGAAUCCCACGUGCCAAGUCUGUAAAAUAGGAACAGAAAAUGUCUUUCAUGCUCUAGUAGCCUGCAAAUCGGCUGAGAAGGUGUGGAAGCUAAUCCAUUUUGAUGAUGACAUUCGUGCAGCUCACAGUCAAGACAUUCUAAGCAUACUGCAUGCUAUGAAAAGGAUGAGAAACAGAGACGACCUGGAGCUGUUGGUAACAAUUUUCUGGGUUAAAUGGAAUGCUAGAAAUCAGAUGAUCUUCAAAGGGAAAAAGGAAACCCCCCAGAUCAUGGUAGCUAAAGCUGAAGCCUUGAUUGCUGCUUAUAAGAGGGUGCAUUCUCCAGAUGAGGCCUGCAGUGAAACAGAGCAGAAAGCACCUCCCCAGAAAUGGAACCCCCCUCAAGCUGGUUUUGUAAAAGUAAACACUGAUGCAGCCAUUUGCUUUGAAAAGAACAUUGUAGGGCUGGGGGUAGUAAUAAAAAAUGUUUUGGGGCAUGUUACAGCAGCUGCUAUCAAGGUUGCUAAGUUUCAUGGAGAUGUUUCUUAUGCGGAAGCAGAAGCCAUGGAAUGGGGUAUGUUAGUGGCGAGAGAGGCCAACAUGAAAGCUGUCAUCAUGGAAUCAGAUUCUCAAGGUGUGGUCAAUUUAGUUAACAACAAGCAGGGCAGCAGAUCCGAGAUCUAUUGGGUUGUGUCAGAAAUUCAGAAUCUAGCGGAAAGUUUCGAUCGUGUUAGCUUUAAAUACACGCCUAGAUCUUGUAAUGUUAUUGCCCACUCUUUAGCUAAACUAGCUUUAGAGAAGUGCGAGAAUGUUGUGUGGAAAGGGUCAUACCCUUCACAAGUGAUGUAUCUCUUUUCUUCUUUAGUUUAAUGGAAAUCUCUUUUCAAAAAAAAAAAAAAAAAAAAAACUCCGAGUGUGAGUCCAAAAAUAGUUUUCGUUUUUCUAUUUUGGAUUUUAAAUCGUAAAUUUAGUAAAGGAAGUUAAAUCAAGUGAUCACUUUUUUUUUUUAAUGUAAAGCUAUUAUUUUUUUUAUGAUUUAAGAAAAUAUUUAGUUGCGUACUUUAACGAUAUUAAUAUUUGAUUCGAAAUUUCAUCUACUGAAACUACAAAAAUUAAUAUUUUCUAAUAAAUCAAAACUAAAAUUAAAAGAUGACUCAUUGUCUGCCAACUGUCAUUAAACGAAGCCAUCACUCACGCCAAAAAAAAAAGUGAUAUAUUCAUUUUAACGUAAUUUCAUACCAGCAAAUCAUUCAUUUCUUUCAAACAAUGACCUCUUUAAUUAUCCAAGGCUUUGUGAUAACGGCAUCUUUGGACGUGAGUGUCAUUAGACUUUUGGCUCAAUCAGACUUGUGGAUUACAUGCACUCAACUUCGAUAAUAUAGAAAUGGGAGAAAAUUAUGUCAGUAAAAUCAAGUCAGUCAAAUAAGAAUUGUGUAUUUUAAAAAAAGUUGGAAAAAACGGGUUGACGGUGCAUAAUUUCCUAACUAGAAUUUCCCAACUCACUAGAAUUUCCUAAAGUUGGAGUAAAUAAGACUCCAAAGGAACAUGGCAAUUAUUAUUAUCUAGGAAAUAAUUCAUAGCUAAAACAAAAUUAAAUUUCCUAACUCACUAGAAUUUAACUGGAGAAAAAUUGGAAUAUACAAAGUUGUAUCAUAUAUAGUAUUUAGACAUCAAGAAAAGAAUCCCUGUAUCAGUGAACCAUACUUGCCAGGAAACACCGGGCGAAUACCACCACCUCCUACUAGUUCUUAGGUGUCUCAGAGUUUGAUGACGACUUCCAUGCUGUGUCUCUUCGACAGGCAGUAAAAUUGGGGAAUUGACUACAUUAACUCCAAGAAAUUUAUGCAGUCACCUUACUCCGGACUAUCUUGUUUGACGCCAAGGAGCCCAAGCCUAGAAACAAUGGCACUCUUUGGUAUCAACCACCUGGGGACUUUUGAGCUGAGCCAUGACAUCCUGAGAUGGGCUGUUGUGUAAGCCUUCUUCAAAAGGUCAUCCGUUGAUCUUUCUCCUAAUUAGACCAUCAAAACCCUGCAUGGAAUCCAUUGGAGAAGUUGGACAAUAGACAAACUCCAACACAUACAGACAGUAAAGAAGAAUUUAGACCGCAAUCACUGUGGCUGAACAAAUGGGCCUAUUAAAGCCUAUUAAAAGUUGGAACCAUAUUCACCACCCGCAUUUCCUUAGAGAACUAUAUCAGAAUUCUGUAAAUUUGAAACUAUUCUUACAUAUUUAACUGUAAAACAAGAGAAAUUGUACUUCCGUAGCAAAGUCUCACUAUUGGCAAGUAUCUGGACUUGGAAAGGAUGCUAGUUGAUUAAGUAAAGGAAAAUUGAAAUCAGACUUUGAGGUGAUAGAUCUAUAUCCAUUUUUAUAGGAACCGCAUUAACAUCAUAUGAGACAAAUAAACAAAUAACCCAGUCAAAGUUCAACAAACAAAACAUUAAAACAAGAGUAAUUUGGUCUAUCAAUGUAUAUUUAGAGAUGUCGAUCAAUAGACAAAUACGUAAAAGAGAGACGGAGAGACCUCAAAGCCGUGCUUAAGAACAGUGCUACUCCAAUAACAUCAAAAUGGUUGGUGACCGCUCUAUCAAAUCCACACAAUAGCUGAUAUCUCAUGUUUGCAUAUAGUUCAAUGAAAGCACCAUAACCAGGCGCUUUAGUACUUACAGAUGGGAUUGUCACAGGUAACCUGUCAGACAUCAAAUAUGGCCCAAAUUUACAGAUGGGAUUGUCGCGUUAGUGCUUAGACAGUAAACAUUUGCUCUAGUAGCCUGAUUACACAAGAAAUCGAGACAAGUGUUCAAAAUUUUAAUCUUUAUAUAUAGCCAAAAUGAUAAUGUAGUUGAUAAUACUAACCUGAGUUAAUAAAUACGGGGCUGGUAACAAUCACAGCAUCUCAUCAUGUGGGGAAAGCCUUCGCAACAGAAGACGCUGCUUGCUUUGAAGCAAUAAUAACUUUCCAAUUCCAUAAGGUAGCUUAAUGCCCUUUUAGGAUAUCAGCACCAGCCUAACAAUUAUUCAUGGAAAUUCGAUUUGCAUUUAUCACCUUUAAUUUGCUCAUCUUUGCCUAGAGUAUUGUUUUUGCGUAAACUUAACAAGCUUGCAAGCCACCUACAAAUGGUUUUAAAUAUGUGUGAGAGUGUGAAUUCGAACGAAUUAAUCAAAUAUGAUGACAGAAGAAACAAAAGCAAAACAACCACAAGACGUAGAAAUAUACUUUUGUUAUAUUUAGAGCAUCUUCUACUGUCUUCUUUUCCUUUAGCUCUGUUUCUGUGUGUGUUCAAACGCAAUGCCUCAAGGCUCAAGAUAAUUUUAUGACCAUCAAUCUUUUGCAGCCAUAUGCAGACUUGAAACACUGUAGUGUCCCUAAGGAACUUGAAAAUUAGAAAGUUUCAGAAUGAGUGACUAAAUAUGAUAAUCGAAACUAAUUUAAUAUACACGCCUUGUAAAUCUGAAACUAAAUUACUCAAAUGUAUAUGCCUCUUUGCAGCAAAGAAACAGAGUCAAUAUACGAAGAUGAUUUUACUAACCAGUGAGAGCUUGCAAAUAUUGGAAGGAUAACGAUUACUCAUAACCCAAAUCCCCAAUACCUUCUAAUACCUCACUCACUUGAGUUCAAGCUCCCAAAAUUCACUACAGUGAAACUCUCACAACAAAAUUCUCUUCAAAGAUUCUCUACUCAAAUUUGAUUAAGCUGCUUAGAAUCCUUAACCUGAUAACUUACACAAACAAAAACAACUUGCCUAAAGUUUAAUAUUUAGAGGCAGAACAGUAAAGAAGAAGAUAUAUAUUGAUACUAAAAUUUGACCUGUAUUACCCUGAUGUCAAGAAUCACGACAUCUCAUGUGGGCAAAAUCUUCACAAUACGAGAUGCUUCCAAAAUUGAAGCAGCAUCUUAUCACCUGUAAUUUAAUUAAGACAAUAACUUUCCCCAACUAUUCCAAUGCAUUAUUGGGAACUAAAUUCAGAGGGCGCUAAUUAAAUAUCCUUUUAAUAAUAUCUUCUUAUUCUUCUCCAAUCUAACAGUUAUUUGGAAAUCUGAAAAGAGGUUCAACAUUUUACAACCAAUCAAAAAUCACUGAACCAUUGGAAAGUGAUUUACGUAUAAUUUUUUUUUUUUCCAAACUCUGUCCAAAAUGAUGAAUGAGAUAGGAUGACACAAGAAACAAAUGUAAAUUGACCGCAAGUAGAAAUAUACUUCUGUUAUAUUUGCAACAUCUUCUAGGGUCAAUUGCUUUUCCUUGAGCUCUGUUUCUGCAUGUGCUCAAAUGCAACACACAUACCACAAGAUAUAAUUAUCAACAGGAUCUCCCUAAGUUACAUGCAUGUAACUUAGCAUUAGCCUUAUCAACAUGAAUCUUUUGCCGCCACAUGCAGCCCGUGGAAAACUGUUUAUGGCCAUAAAGAACGGGAUAAUCAGAAAUCAUUAACAACGAGAGAAAUCAUUUUAAUCGCAGCCAAACAUACACACUAAGAAAAUCUAAAAUUGAAUUUCUCCCAAUGAAUGUGCCUCUUCACAGCAAUUGCACUAGCUAAUCCCAGCAGCCUGCGUCAUGGAGCUUCUCCCAAUGAGUGAGUGAGCCUUGAACAGUUAUCACUUAGCUCAAACUAAAAUGAAAUUAUUGUGGACAUCUGACUUAAAAAUACAUGUAAAAGCAGUUUUCUCAAAGCAAGGUCAAGAUAAGAGAUUAACUCUGCUUGUUAUUUACAUUAAAAAUAACAAACAAUGAAAAACAGAGCUAGAGAAGAACUUACCUGUGCAUUGAGACCAUGUGGGGAAUGUGAGAUAUCUUCUUAUAUUUGGUUUGAGAAACUCCAUCUUCUUCUGAAAGUUCUGACAGUUCCCUAAACCCAGGCCAAUACAAUUGCAACAGAAACUGCAUGCUUUAACCAGCAUCUUAUCAUCUCCUCUUAUUUCAAGACAAUAAUAACUUAAUUGCAACACUGCGUGCUUCCACCAUUAACCUUUUCAAUUUCAACACUUCUUUUGUCCCCCGCCCGAUGCCCUUUUAACAAUUCUAUGAAUCAGAUAAAUCAGCCUUCAACCCCAAAUUCCUUCCUGAUCCGUGGAAGCAUUUCAGCCCACAGACGGUUUGCUUUGUCAAUGUACAGCAACUCAGGAUUCUAUAUUUAAACUAUGAUGUUUGACAUUGCCCCAAGCACUUUUUUACAGGAGCUAAAAUCAAGCCAGUCACUUCCAUUUGUUGCAGUUUUAAUGCAGAAAGAAAAAGGGGGAAAAAAAUCCGCAAGAUGCCACUUGUAAUACCGCAUGUUCGCAGAAGCAGAGUUAAAUAAUUACAAAAUUACAUUCUUGAUUGCACAGAAAUGAUAUAUAGCAAAACAAGCAUAAGGAAAUAACAAUAUAAUUUUACAUUGUUCAGCUUUUGGUCUACGUCACAGUCAAAGACGGGAAGAGAAUUUUACUAAGAAAUAAGAGUGUACUAAUGUUAAAGAAAAACAUUCACUAAUCGCUGAUAUAUGCUUAAUUUCUCACCCACUAAGAACGUUCAAUUCACUCAAAUGAAACUUUCACAGGAAGGUCUCAUUUUUAAGGCAUUAGCUUCACUUCACAUGCUCAGCAAUUCAAAUUUGAGGAUGAUAUUUCUCAAAAUUGAGGGCUCUAUUUGGCUUGCCAACAAUCUUCCUCACCACUAUCAUCCUUGCUAUACCGGUUGCACUGAACAAUCUUCAUUCUGACAUUUGCACUAUUAACCUGAGUGCACAAGAAUCCGAAACAACUGUUAGAAAUUUUAAUCUUUAUAUAUAGCCAAAAUGGUGAAUAAGAUGAUGUACUUGAUAACAAAAACCUGAUUUAAUAAAUAAUUAAGCGGCCGAUAACAAGCACAGAAUCUCAUCGUGUGGGGAAAGCCUUGACAACAGAAGAUGGUGCUUUCAUUCAAGCAAUGAUAACUUUCCAAUUUCAUAAGGUAGCUUAAUGCCCUUUUAAGAAUAUCUGCACCAGCCUGACAAUUAUUGAUGGAAAUUCAAAUUCAGAAUCAUGUUCGUAUGAGAGAUGAAAUGUAAUGAGCGACUUGGCCACCAUAUAUGCAUUUAUCAUCUUCAAUUUGCUCAUCUUUGUCUAGAGUAUUGCUUCUGCGUUAACUUAAUUAGCGUGCAAGCCACCUGAAAAUGGUUUUAAAUAAUGAGAGAGAGUCUGAAUUCGAAUGAAUUAAUCAAAUAUGAUGACAGAAAACAAAAAAGUAAAAUAACCACAAGAAGUAGAAAUAUACUUUUGUUAGAUUUAGAGCAUAAUUCUUCUGUCAAGUUCCUUUCCAUUAGCCUUGUUUCUGUGUGUGCUCAAACGCAAUUCCUCAACACUCGAGAUAGUUUCUGCAGACCUGAAAAACUGGUUGUGGCCCUAAGGAACUUGAAAAUUAGAAAAGAUUCAGAAUGAGUGACUAAAUAUUUUAAUCAAAACUAAUUAAACAUACACGCCCUGAAAAUCUGAAACUGAAUUACUCAAAUGAAUAUGCCUCUUCACAGCAAUUGGUUGAAACUUUACUGCAAAGACUUUUUGAAACCCUUGAAGAUGAUACUCUACCUGAUAACACAAGGAAACACAAUCAAUAUAAGAAGAUAAUUUUACAAACAAAUGAAAGUUUGCAAUUAUUGGGAGAGCUCUACUCAAAUUUAAUGAGAUAUCUCUCAGAAGGGAGAGCUCUAAUAAUAUAUAAAGCCAAAAAUCUAACACUCAUCAAAUUGGCUUGUAAACAAUUAAUCUUCCUUACCAUUAUCCAUGCCAGGCGUGGUGAUCAAUCUUCAUUCUGACAUUUGCCUUAAUAAGCUGCUCAGUAUCCUUAACCUGAUAACUCACUCAAACAAAAACAAUUUUACUAAAGUUCAUUUUUUCAAGGCAAAACAGUAAAGAAGAUGAUAAAUGCUGAUACAAAAAAUUGACCUGAGUUGUCCUGUUGUCAAGAAUCACAGCGCCUCAUGUGGGCAAGAUCAUCGCAAUACAAGAUGCCGAAUUCAAGCAACAUUAAAUCACCUGUAAUUUAAUUAAGACAAUAACUUUCCUCAACUAUUACCCUUCUCAAUUUCAAUGUAUUAUUGGCAACUAAAUUCAUAGGGGACGUAGCAAAUUAAAUGCCCUUUUAACAAUAUCUUCCCCACCUAACAAUUAUUUGGAAAAUCUAAAUGACAAUCAUGCAUUGAUGGCAUAAAAAAUUGGCCACAAAGCUGCCUAGAAAACGGCUUUAAAUUCUUAAUGAGACAACGUAUUCGAACAAAUAUGGUGAAUGAAGAGACAAAGGCAUAACACCUCAAGAAGUAAAGCUUUGUUUCUGUAUGUGCUCAAACCAAUGGAAACCCAUGGAAAUGAAUUUCUACGAAUUAGACAUGUCAGCCAAAACAGGUACUCUGUACAAGCAAAGUAAAAGAGAGUUACAAAAAUUUUUAAGAUAAUUAAACUUUUAGUCACCAUAUAAUUAAUAGAAAACUUUGUACACAAUGAUUUAUAUGAGAUUAAGAUUGUAUACCUAAGUUUUAAUUGCAAACUAAAUAUACACAACAUGAUAUUAGCAUUAGAAGACUGAACCAAAACGUACCGAAUUGAAUGUACCUUUUAACGGCCAUUGUACAUGCAUUGAAAGUUUACCGCAAAAUCUGUUUCAAACGUGAUGCAUCUUAGAGAUGCAAGAUGAGAAAUUGUUAGUACAACUAGCAUUGAAACACGUGUGAAAACUGUUAAUGGACCUAAAUAACUUGAAAAUCAGAAAAGAUUAGGAAUGAGUGACUAAGCCUGCUAAUCGCAACUAAACAUACAAACCUUGAAAAUCCAAAAUUGUACUCGAUGAAUGUGCAAUUGCUCGAGCAGGUAAAUUUACUGCAAAGGCUCUUACAAACCCUCAAAGAUGAUACUCUACAUACCAUGGUAACCUGAAUAACAAAAAGAAACACAGUGAAUAUUAAAGGGCAUUCUGACAAUGCAAAUUUGUGCAAAUUAACAACUGCGGUUACCUGCAUAAUAGUGUUAAUACUGAAUUCCUUCCUCCAUGGAAGCAUAUGAUCAGCCCACAUGUGCUUUGCUCUGUAGCUUUUGAGUACCUGAAAUUGUUAUUACAACCAACGGUGAAAAUUGGGUGAAAAAAUGGUAAUAUUAGCAUAAUUGAAUUUGCUUAUAGAGGAUAAACCGAUCAAAGAAAACAACAAGAUAGAAAUGAUUAUCUUAGUACCUUAAUAUCAUGCAAUAAAAAUCAUCAUGCCUUCCAGGCAGCUAUCCAUCCUCAAUUGAAACAGAGCAGACCUGGCCAUCACUUCUUCAAAGUCCAGCAACUGAACGUUGCACACAACACCACAGUGGAAGUAGUUCCAUCACCAGCCUAAUCCUUGAUUACCCCAAUGUUCUCCAUAGGGUCUUCAAAGUCAACCUAAAAAUAAAAUGAAAAUCCAAUGCAUUAUUAUUAGGGAUCUAGUGCUUGAGUUUGCUUUGACAUCAUGGUAUUAGCAAAUUCUGAUAUAGCCAAAAUGGUGAAUAAGAUGAUGUACUUGAUAAAAAAAACCUGAUUUAACAAAUAAUUAAGAAGCAGGUAACAAUCAGAUAAUCUCAUCAUGUGGGGAAUGCCUUGGCAACAGAAGAUGGUGCUUUCAUUCAAGCAAUAGCAACUUUCCAAUUUCAUAAGGUAGUUUAAUGGCCCUUUUAAGAACAUCUGUACCAGCCUAACAAUUAUUCAUGGAAAUUAAAAUUCAGAAUCAUAUUAGAUUGAGAGAUGAAAUAUAAUAAGCAAUAUGCAUUUAUCACCUUCAAUUUGCUCAUCUUUGUCUAGAGUAUUGCUUCUGCAUUAACUUAAUUAGCUUGCAAGCCACCUACAAAUGGUUUUAAAUAAUGUGUGAGAGUGUGAAUUCGAACGAAUUAAUCAAAUAUGCUGACAGGAGAAACAAAAGUAAAUAACCACAAGAAGUAGAAAUAUACUUUUGUUAUAUUCAGAGCAUCUUCUUGCGGCAAGUUCUUUUCCUUUAGCUCUGUUUCUGUUUGUGCUCAAACGCAAUGGCUCAAGGGUCAAGAUAAUUUUAUGACCAUCAAUCUUUUUGCAGCCACAUGCAGACUUGAAAAACUGGUCGUGGCCCUAAGGAACUUGAAAAUUAGAAAAGAUUCAGAAUGAGUGACUAAAUAUUAUAAUCGAAACUAAUUAAACAUACACGCCUAGAAAAUCUGAAACUGAACUUCUCAAAUGUAUAUGCCUCUUCGCAGCAAUUGCUUGUGGUGGAAACUUUACUGCAAGGACUUUCUCAAACCCUUGAAGAUCACACUCUACCUGAUAACAAAGAAACAUAGUCAAUAUACGAAGAUGAUUUUACUAACAAGUGAGUGCUUACACAUAUUGGAAGGAUAAUGAUUACUCAUAAUAUCUCACUCAAGUGAGUACGAGCUCCCAGAAUUCACUACUGUGAAACUCUUACAACAAAAUUCCGUUCAAAGAUUCUCUACUCAAAUUUGAUGAUGAUGUCCCUCGAAAGGAGGCAAAAAAUCUAACACUGAUCAAAUUGGCUUGUGAACAAUUAAUCUUCCUGGCGAUCAUGCAUACCAGGUGUGGUGAGCAAUCUUCAUUCUGACAUUUGCCUUAAUAAGUGGCUUAGUAUCCUUAACCUGAUAACUUACACAAACAAAAACAACUUGAUUAAAGUUUAAUAUUUAGAGGCAAAACAGUAAAGAAGAUGAUAUAUAUUGAUACUAAAAUUUGACCUGUGUUAUCCUGACGUCAAGAAUCACAGCAUCUCAUGUGGGCAGAAUCUUCGCAGUACAAGAUGCUUGCAAAAUUGAAGCAGCAUCUUAUCACCUGUAAUUUAAUUAAGACAAUAACUUUCCCCAACCAUUUCAAUGCAUUAUUGGCAACUAACUUCAAAAGAUGCUAAUUAAAUAGCCUUUGAACAAUAUAUUCUAAUUCUUCUCCAAUCUAACAAUUAUUUGGAAAAUCUAAAUGACAAUCAUGCAUCGACGGCAUCAAAAUUUGGCUACAAAGCAGCCUGGAAAAGGCUUUACUCUCUGAAUGAGAGCAUGAAUUCGAAACAAAUAUCAUGAAUGAAGAAACAAAGGCAUAAUACCACAAAAAGUAAAACUUUUUCCCAGGGCUCUCUGUUUCUGUUUGAACUAAAACCAAUGGAAACCGAUGGAAAUGAAUUUCUAGGAAUUAGACAUAUCAGCCAAAACAGGUACUCUGUACAAGCAAAGUAAAAUAGGGUUACAAAAAAUUUUAAGAUUGAUAUGAUAAUUAAAAUUUCAGUCACCAUAUAAUUAAUAGAAAACUUUGGACACAAUGAUUUAUUGCAUAUUAAGAUUGCUAUAUAAAAUAUAAUAUUAGCAUUAGGAGACCGCACCAAAGCAUACCGAAUUGAAUGUGCCUUUUCACAGCCAUUUUACAAGCUUUGAAGCUUCACCACAAAUGCUUUUUCUAACCCGUGAACAUGGUGCACCCGAGAGAUGCAAGCUAUGAAAUUGUUACUACAGCAAGCGUUGGAACAUUUGUUAAAAAAGGAAGUUUAUGAAAAUACGCCUUUGGAUACCAGUCUUCAGGAAUCAAUUCAUCCGUAAUAACAAUUUUCAAGAAGUAUCAACUGCUUUAAGCUCAUCGACAUCACAAAGAUCUUCAACUAAAAUAGAGCAGAUCCGGCCAUCACUAUCCCUUCUACUGCUCUUUUCCUUUAGAGAAUGAUUGAAUUACAGAAUGCGUGUAAGGCAUUCUUAUUCAAGGUCCAAUGAUCAAACCUUGCACUAUAACAACAGAGGUAGUAGUUUCUUCGCCAGCCUAAUCCUUGGUCUCAGGAAUGUCCUCAACAGAGUACUCAAAAUCAACCUAAAAAUUAAGAAUGAGUUGGAAAACUGUUUAUGGCCCUAAAGAACUUGAAAAUCAGAAAAGAUUAAGAAUGAGUGACUAAACAUUUUAAUCGCAACUAAACAUCCAAACCUUGAAAAUCUAACUUUGAAGUACUCUUGAAUGAAUGAGCAAUUGCACGAGCUGGUGACAACUAAGGUUACUGUGAAGUCUCUUACAAAUCCUUAAAGAUGAUACUUUACAUACCACAAUAACCUGAUAACACAUAGGAACACAAUAAACAUUAAAGUGUAUUCUGACAAUGCAAAUUUGUGGAAAUCAUCAGCUGUGGUUACCUGGACAAUAUUGCCAACACCAAACUCCUUCCUCAAUUGAAACAUAUGAUCAGCCCACAAAUGCUUUGCUUUGUAGCUUUUGAGAGCCUGAAAUUGUUAUCACAACCAACAGUGAAAAUUGGGUGAAAAAAUUGAUAAUAUUAGCAUAAUUCCAUAUGUUUAUAUAGGAUAAACCGAUCAAAGAAUGAAAAAAGAUAGAAACAGAGCAGACCCAACCAUCACUUUCUUCUUCAAAGUCGCACCAUAACCACAGUGGUAGUCGUUCCACUGCCAGCCUAAUCCUUGGUCAACCCAAUGUUCACCAUGAAGUAUUCAAAGUCAACCUAAAAAUAAAUAAAAAUGCAAUGCAGGUGGAAAUGAAAAUUCUAUAAAUUAAAUAAAAUAAAAAUGCAAUGCUUGAGCUUGAGCUUGCUUUAGCAUCAUCGUAAUAGUACAUUUUGAUAUAUCUUUACUUCUCUGUUCUUGUUUAUUCACAACAAGAUAUCAAUAGAAGGAGAUGGAAAUGAAAUUCUAUAAAAUAAAUCAAGUGAAUUACCAGUAGAACAUUUUAGCAAUCCUUUGGGUAAACUUUUCAUUUUCAUAGUCUUGCUCUCCUGCCUGCAUCAUUAAAACCAAAUUAGCUUGUACCAGGCAAUUGCUAGUGUGGUUCUGACAUUUCCUCGAAUCCCUGGUGAACAUAAUUAAACUCGUAUGAAAUAAAACAAAGUGGGCUAAUGUAGUAAAAACAAUUCCACAAUUACUUUAAAGAAUUAAUGUCACAUAAAUUAUAUAUAAAAAAAAACGAUUAUCAUUAUAUAAGAUAAAAUUGAUAAUUUAGUUUUCAACAUUACUCCAAACGUAUCACAGAGAUUUUGUCUCUCAGCAAGUUACACAUAACAAAUUUUCGUACAUUAAAAAAUAAAUUACAUUGCACGAAAUUUUACAAAAGAGCACAUAUUUUGUUAUUUUUUAUUAUUUAAUCCUUAGAAAACAAGUUUAACAGAUUUGAUAACUAGGAAGUUUUACGUAUUUAUACCAUGAUUGAUUCUAUAUAGAAUUUUAAUUCAAAAUAUAAUUAUUUUAAUCAAUUUCAUUGCAAGCAACAACGAAGUAAAUCAGAGGAGGAGGAGAAAUUACCGGCGAGUGAUAAAUUACGGCUACCACUUGAUGUGGGGAAUGUGAGAUAUCUUAUACCAGUCUUCUCCUUCCCCCACUCUAUAACGGUUUUCCAGAAGAGGACAUUUCCAAAUUGUCAAAUCCUGCAGUGCCGUCGUUCGAAGGAGGUAAUCCGGCAGCACCUUUAAUUUGGGGCAAUGCUCAAUUUCCAAGGAAGAAAGACGUGGUAUGUCUGUUGUCCUGUGAUCUUCUAGAAUGGGCAGUUCUUCUAGAAGAUCACAAGAAAAAAUACUCAAUUUCUGCAGUGCCGUCGUUUGAAAAAGGUAAUCCGGCAGCGCCUUUAAUUUGGUGCAAUACCAAAUCGUCAAGGAAGAAAGACGUGGCAUGAUGGAGAUGUUUUCCUUCCUCGUAAUCCUGUAAUUCCACUCUUCCAAUUCUUCCAAGCCCCAAAUUUCGAGAGAUUUCAAUUUGGGGAAGGCAAUAACUGAUGAUGACGAUGAAGAUGAAGAUGGGUCGUCCUCACUGCUUUCUUCUAUUCCCAAAAACUCAUUACCCACUCUUUUUACACUUUUCAAGUUGCGUAGUUCGAGUUUUUCCAGAGGCAAUUUUCCCAAAGGAGGCAAAUGCUCACAAUUAACGCAGGAGAGAAGUUUUAAAUUCCUUAGAUUGGUUAGUGAAGUCAACCAUUUGGGAAAAAUGUUGCCUCCGUAGGAUUCAAUCCAUAAUUCCUCUACAUUCAAAGGCGGUUGUAAGGCUUCAAGAAGUUGUUUAUCUUUCUCAAUAUUCAUCCUCCUCCCUUCUUCGCCUUCCCCAUCUACGACUCCACCAAACACAAGACGCAAACGAAGGAGGUUUUUCUUAUUGUAAAGUUGUAACCUCUCAGCCUCAUCUAAAUGUGACACAUUACCCAGCCCUUCUAUUCCACAUUCUCGAAGGAGUUGAAGAUUUUUCAGAGAUUCAAGCCUACACGUAUUGCUACCAUCAACACCUCCACCCACCACAAACUUGUCUAAUGUUCGAAGACUGGUUAAUUUGGAAAUCCCUAUUGGCAUGUAUUUCAACGAAUCAGUUUCACCAUUCAGUAAACUCCUCAUGUUCUUUAACUUCCCAAUCCCCGCUGGCAAUUCCCUAAGAUUUUCGCAACCCCUAAUAUCUAGCUUUUGUAAAUUAUAUAAUUCACACAAAGUCUCAGGCAGUCUCUCUAUACAUAAUUUAGACAAAUUAAGAUAUUUUAAAUGUAUCGAUUUUCCAACAUUUUCUGGAAUUUCUCUAAUCAAAUUUGAGUAGGACGAUUGGCUUAUAACUAAUGCCCUUAAACACGCCAAUUUACUAAAUAACUCCAGAAGGACGCUACUAUUAAGAGACGGAUUGGAAGGACUUUCAUCAUUAAUUAGGAUGGUACGCAAUCUAUUAAGUCCGUGAAUGGAUAUAGGAAAUGAAGCGCCUCCUUCAAACUUUAACCCUAAGUGACGGACUUUGUCGCCAAAAGAGUUUAUGACUGAUUCUUUGGUACCAUUAAUUUCUAGCCACAAACAUUCUUUUCUACUUAUAAAUUGGGCAAAAUCAUGUACUAUGUCAUGCAUCUUGCAACUCAGAAUAUCAUCAUCGUCAUAAUCUUUUUCAAACUCUUGAAAGAAAGAGCGUGUUGCUAAGAUGUUGAAAUACUCUUCUCCAAUCAUCUCCAUUUCUUCGUCUUCUUCUGCGUUAAAGUAACCUUGAGCCAUCCACAAACUAAUCAAUUCUUCUUUAUUCAUACUGUAGUCUUUUGGAAAGACAGCACAAUAUGAGAAACACCGUUUUACCAUCGAAUUGGAGGGCAAAUCGUUAUAACUCAACAACAAAGGAGCCAAAAGACCUUGCCCAAUCUCUUCAAAUUUCCACAUUUCACUAUCUAACAUUCUUUGCCACUCUUUUACUGUAAUUUUAGAGCGCAAGAGAUUCCCUAUUACCUUUGCAGCAAGAGGCAGGCCUUUGCACUUGCGUGCAAUUUUUCGCCCGAUUGGUUCUAAUCUUUCACAAUCCUCGAAACAGCGACCGAAAAAUGCUAACUGCUUGAAAAACAACCAGCAUUCCUCUUCAGCCAGUUGUUCAAUGGAGAUAGUAUCUGACUCUGUUGUUCCCAUCAUACGUGCAAUUGACUCAUUACGUGUGGUAACCAAAAUUUUACUUCCGUGGAGACCAUUCUUUAGACAAAAGAAGAAUGGAUCCCAUUUAUUGGAAUCCCCAUCCCAUACAUCAUCUAAGACAAGAAAAAUUUUUUUUCCUCCAAUUGAUCUAUGGAUAUGGCUCAUAAGAGAUUGGAAUUCGCUUAAACUAGAAGCUUCUUUUGAUUCGCCUAGACCUUCAAUGAUUGCUUUGGCGACCCUAAUCUCCUCAAAAGUGUCUGAUACACACACCCAUAUAACUUUGUCAAAAUUUCUUUUCACCUCAUCAUUAUUAUAGGCUAGUUGUGCAAGAGUGGUUUUACCUAUACCCGCGAACCCAACCAGUGAGAUGAUAUGAGGGUGUUGUUCACUACUUUCACACAACAACUUGGUUAAGAGCUUAUUUUUCUCAUCAUCUCUACCAAAAACCUUCCUCUCAUCAAUCAAGGAGGUGGUUCGCACUCGCUCUGGUUUCUUAACAUUGUUACUCACAUUCUCAACAAAUUUGAAAUUAUCUUUUUGUCUGGCAAUAUCAUCUAGCUUUUCACGGAUUUCUCUAAUCUUGACAGCAAUAUCAUGACGAAGACUGAGUUGUUUGAAACCACCAAAGCAGUUUGAGGCAGCAGGAAAGAAGGAACAUACCUUCGUCAAAAGAGUAACAAAAGCAUUGGCGUCAUCAUCAUCAUCAUCAUCGCCGCCCUCAUCAAGCUGCAAUUUCCGUGUUUCAGUGAUCCACUCAUCCAACACAUCUUCCAUGUCGUAGGAUGCGUCUCUGAGCUCAUCCAGCCAAUCAGUAACAGCUUUGUCGAGCUUCAUUUGCCUCUGCUCUGCAUCUUCCAGCACAGCUUGAAUGGCUCGAAGAUUUUUGGUAAGCUUUUCCACUUCUUUUUCGACACCCGUCACAAGCCUCCACUUUUCUUUCACCUGAUCUUGAGCAAUGGAUUUCAGCUGGUCCAGGAGAGAGGAAACGAUCGCAAGAGCCAUUCUGAUAUUAGAUCAAAUGGUAAAUGCUGCGAUUGCUUUUCUUGCUGCUAAAAUGCUCAGAGGAAAGUAGGUUUUAUGUAUUCUGUGAGAAUGUUCAUUCAAGCAUGUUUGCAUUCUUCUUAUACGUGCAAAUUGAAGGAGUCACCAUCUGGGGCUAGCUUUCUGCUCCACCACGUCAAUAAUUGUACAGCGUCUGCUCUGUUUCUCUGAUUCAUAAUAAUUCAUUAUUAAUUCUGCAGAGUACACAGCAUCAGCACUUGUGAAAUUUCUUACAUUUGUAUUUAGUUACAUGCUGCUCUUGAGAUAAUUAGUAACAAAAUAUUUGUAAACUGCAACAAAAAGCUUUGUGCAAUCUAUCUAUGAAUCUUGAGAAUUCACAUAUAAUACAGUCGAUUUAAAAUAGUCAUAAAUUUUUUUUAUUAUAAAUAUUAGUAUAUUUGUAAUGGUAUAAUAUAUAUCGAUGAAACUAUAUAGAGUAAUUUCGCCUAAUUGUAUAAAUUCAUUACGAAUAUCAUCACAAAUUUGUAUUUGGUCGGGACGGUGCGAGUGAAUUUUUUUAUAAAAUCAUCUCCUGACAAUUUAUUUAUUAUAUUUUUCAAUUUAGCUUUACCGUAUGGAUCCAUUUCUUAUCUAUAUGGCCUUUUAUUAUCAGGUAGGCCAAGGCCAUUUGGUCAUUUGAAAAAGUAUGUGAUUCCGUUUUAGUCUAUUAGGUCACGACAAAAAGAGAAUUGGAAAAUGUAACAUUCUCAAAUUAAUUUGUAGUGGAAAAGAGAAAAAUAAGACAAAAGUUGGAAAAAUCAUGCAGCCGACCCUUUUUUCUAUCUGAUUGCGCAAUAUUAGGUAGGCGAAUGCGACUUCAUCGAUAUCACACAGCAGUGGUUCUGUCAUUAAUUUUUUUCUUUUAUUUAAUUAAGAAAAGGAAGAAAAGAUAGUACAUGUUAUGAUUAUUGUGAAUUUUCCAUCCCUUAUAUAAAUUCUCGAAUUCAUUUAAAUUGUGAGUCAUAGAAGUAUAUUACCUAAACUAUUUUAUCAGGCUAUGUUCGGAUACUAGGAUUAAGUUUGGAAUUGGACUAAUUUUGUGAUUAUAUAUUUAUAUCAUAUUUGGUAAGCUUAAUUGAAUUGGACAAAGGGACUAAAUUUAAGUUUAAUCCUAAAAUUAUGGGAUUAAUAAUCCUAAUUUACACUUUCCUUUAGUUGGGACUUGGGAUAAGAUUAAAGAAAAAAGUUAUCCAUUUAUGAGACUUUAAUUUAUGUCAUUAUUGUUUAUUUAUACUUAAUAUUAAUUAAUUUAUUAAUUAAUUUAUUUUUUAAUUUAUGAUUUACUUAAAAUUUAUUUUUAUUUAUUAUCUAUCAUCUGAUUAAAUUAGAACUUUACUUCUACUAACUCUUGAGAUUAAUUUUUCAUUACUUGCGUAUUUGAUAAUUUGCCAAUAAAAUUAACCAUUUAAUAAUUUCUUGCAUUAUUGAUUGUAUUAAAUUUAAUAAUCACUAAUAUAAUAUUAAAAAUAAUCAUGAAAAUUAAUAAUACCUUCAAUUAAUUGAUUUUAUAUACUUUUUUAAAUAUUUGAUAAGAAGUUGAUAAAAAUUAAUUAAGGAUUUAAAAUUUUAUUCAUUUUUUAUUUAUUUAUUUUAUCAUGAAUACCCAGUAUCUUACAAUAUAAUUAAUUUUCUUAUUCAGACUACUCAGCAUCAGCUCCUGUAAAAUUUCUUACAUUAUAAGCAACAAAAUAUUUAUAAACUACAACAAAAGGCUUAGAUCAAUCCACCGGUGAACCUUCUGAAGUUAUAUAUAAUAUAUUAAUUGUUGAUCUAAGAAUAGUCUCAGUGGAUAGAUUUUUUAUAUUAUAAAUAUCAAUAAAUUUUUUAUCGUUUAAUAGAUAUUGAUGAAAUUAUAUGGAGUAAUUUCGCCCAAUCAUAUUAAUUCAUUAUGAAUUUCAGCACAAAUUUAUAUGUGAUCGAUCUGGACCGUGCAAGUGAAAUUUAUUUACUAUAUUUUUCAACUUUUUGUCAGGUAGGCAAAAGCAAAAGCCAUUAUCUCAUUAAUUGAUUUGGUCAUUUGAGAAUGUAACUCUAUUAUGCCGUGACAAACUCCAAGAUCUAAUUUAGAGAGCGACUCAAAUAAUGGUAAUUAGUAAUUUAUUACAUCUGCAAUUAGAUAUAUACUUUGUUUGAGAAAAAAAUAAAAUCAGUUUUAUAAUGAUUUUAAUUACAAUGAAUAUCAUGCUGUGAUCUAUGACUUGUCUGAUAUUACAAAGAGAAUAUGUGAAAGAUAACUAAGUAAUAAAAUUACAAUAAAUAUCAUCACAAAUGAAAUUUAUUUAUUAUAUUUUUCAAUUUAACGUUAACGUAUGGACCAUUUUUUGGUCUAUAUGGAUUAUGGCCGACAAUUUUUUGGCAAAAUUGUCUCAUUAAUUCAUUUGGUCAUUUGAAAAAGUUGUGGCUCUGUUUUAAUCCAGUGUCAAUAUAUAACUUUAUUAUGUCAUGACAAACUUCAAAAUCUAAUUUAGAGUGUGACUCGAAUAAUUUUAAUUAGUAAUUUAUUAAAUCUACAGUAGGAUACUUUGUUGAGAAAAAAAAAAGAAUAAAAUCUGUCCCAUAAUGAUUUUAAUAAAUAUCAUACUAUUGUCUACGGACUUACCUCAUAUUACAAAGAAUUAAAAUAUGCGAAAGAUAACUAAGGAAUAAAAUUUUUCCACAAUGAUUUAUAAAAUUGCUUUUGAAGAACGGUUAUGAUAUUAUAUUAAAUUACUAAGAAUUUAGUUAACCUCUCAAGAAGUCUAUUUGGUUGACUUCUCGAGUUUAAAAUUCGAAUGUCAAAAAAGAUAAAAGGUUAAAAAAAUAUUUUAAAUAUUCUCCACCCUUUUACUAUUUUAAUAUACAAAAAGAAGAAUUACUUGUUUUUAACAAUAGCAACCGGGGGCAUCAUAUAUCUGAUGGAUUUUUUUAAGGAACAAAACUUAUUAUAUCUCCUAUCAAAAAUGUCAUUUUUGUUAGUAAAAGGAUAUCUAUAUCUCCAAAUUUUGGAAAAAUGGUUACCAACGCUUCCAAGUCCUAAAUUUGAAAAAAGAGACACUAAAACUCAUUUUUUACUACAAUACCCUUUACUUUUAUUAUCCCAAAAGUUAACUUUAAUUUUUUUUAUAAUAAAUAGAAAUAUAAUAUUAAAAUAAAUGUAUUAAAAUUUAAAUUAUUAUGAAAAAUAAUAAUUUUAAUAUUAUUAGUAUGUGAGACUUUUUUAAUUGUAAAAUGUAUUUAAUGCAAAUAUUUAUUUAAAAUCUCUACAAUAAAUACAAAUAUAUUAUUAAAAUAAAUAUAAUAAUUUACAUAUUUAAAUUUAUUUUAAUAUUAAAGUAUUUUAAUAUUAUUAAUCUACUAUAUAGAUUACAUUAUUUAUAUAAUAUUUGUGUUUACUAAAAAUUUGCAAGUUAAAUUUUUCGGGAUACUAAAGGUAAAGAGUAUUAUGGUCAAAAGAGAGUCUUGAUGUCAUUUUUAGAAAACUUGGGGUGUUGGUGACUAUUUCUCCAAACCAUGGGGAUAUAGAUAUCCUUUUCUCUUUUUUAUUUUAAACAAGUGGUGACUAAAGAUUAAACUGUCAUAUAUUCACAAGAUAUUCACCACAAAAUUUGUAGGAAAUUUCUUCUUCCCUAAGCGGAAAAUACAAAACAAAAACAUAAUUGGCAAUUUCACUAGCAAAACUAAUAAUAUUUUGUUCCAUAUCCAGGGGUAGAGCUCGGGGUAAAUCUUCAUGAGGCCCAAAUUCAAAUUUCAAGUGUUAGCUGGGAAUUAAUUUUAGACAAUUUUAUUUAUUUAUUUAUUUAUAGCUAGUAUGUAAUUGUUAGGUAUUUCAAAAUUUGAGAAUUUUGUGAUUCUGUGAGAAUGUUGAUUCAAGCAUGUUUGCAUUCUUCUUAUACGUACCAUAGGAGAUAUUUAGUUUUUACCCUCAAGUCAAUGUCAAUGUGAACGUUGUUUUGUGCUGCAAAUUAAAGGAGUCCCCACAGGAGUCACCGAUUUGCUUUGAGAAUUUUGAGAAUUAUGUUUUGCGAGUGAAAUUGCCAUUUUGUCAUAAUGGAAUUUUGCUUUCUGAUCAAUAAUUGAGAAUUUUGCUUGUAGCUACAGGCUGCAGCGAUUUUGAUUUGACGGCUUUGAUUCAUAAUUGAAGUUACUGUUGCAAGUAAAAACUAAAAAAAUUAACAAAAUAAAAAUCAAAGACUUAGGUCCAUGUUUUAUCAAAAUUUUAAUAAAAGGCUAUUUGUCAUUUUGUCAUAAUGGAAAAAUAAUUAACAAAAUAAAAAAAUCGAAUUUACUUGAUUUUAUUUUACAAAAUAUAAAUUAAAUUUCUAUUAUAUGUAUAAAGUUUAUACAUCAAGUGGUUAGGAGUCAAAUCAAUCUUUUUAUACCUAAUUUUUAAUAUUUUACUUCGAAACCUCAAAAAUUUUUAAAGUUUGUUGGGUCACAAUCCCCGCUAGGAGUGGGCAAAUUUGUGUUCAUAUCAACUUGAAUAGGUUUUGGGUUGAUUAGGCUAGAAUUGGAUCAGAUCAAAAAGUAUGAGAGAAAUUAAUUGAGCCUCUCCCAAGAAAAAUACAUACAGAUGAUUAAUAUAUAACCAUUAAAUAAUAAAUAUGUUAGACUUACAUUUAUUUUUUAGCCCUAAAAGUAUGAAAAAAUUAAUACUUUCCGAAUUUAUUUUUUGUACCGUAAAGAAUCAAAUUACUCACAAAAUUAUUUUUAACUUUCAUCAUGCAAACAAACAAAUCAUCAUCAAUUUCAAUAGAAAAAAGUAUUCUAGGUAGAAAUGAUUUCUGUAGCAGAAUAUGAUGUAUUUGGGACUUCCAACUCUAUUAGCUAGGUUAAUAACAUGUUAAUUGUCACAUCAUUAAUUUUAGAUUAUAAAUUUUAUAUUCAAACUUUGUAUGACUGCUCCUUUUUCAAUGAUCUAACUAAUUGAUCUUGUUUCAAAAGAAACAAAAAAUAAAAAUAAAAUUAAGUAAUGCCAUGAUCUAAUUGGUCUUGUUAUUGACAUGUACUAAUGCAUUCUAUUUUUCUAAACUUUGUACAUUUUAUUGAUAUGUUUCUCUUGAGAGAUAAGAAUCAUUAUGUGGCAAAAUUUUAUUAAAGCUGGGAUUAUUUAUGUUCUAAUACUUUGAACAUUAACUUUUAUUCUACUCUUUAGAAUACCUAAAUAAUCCUUACCUAAACAUCUUUCAUAAAUGUUUUUUGCUGGGGCUGCAAAAAUUCAUAAUCUAAUAUUAGUUGAUGUGGCUUUUGUUCCAUCACAUUAAUGUAGAUAAUAAUAGUUAAUUCAUUAACAAAAUGAAAAAUGUUAGUUUACAAAAUACAAAUCCGAAUUUUUUGUGUGUGAGAGGGAAUUUAAAAGGGAGAGAUUAAACAAAUGUGGUGACAAAUUACACGUAUUACCAAAAUUGAAAAGACAAAGUUUAGGCAACUGGAAACAUCUCUGUCAAUGGCAAUGAACCCAUUACCUCCAUUUAUAAUUAACCAAAAUCAAAUAAAUUAAAAAAGAAAACACAAAACAAGGAUAACUACUAGUUGUUUUGAUCAUCCCUGCUUCUUUUCUUAGCAUAGCUCUUGUAAUGAAAAUUAACAAAAAGGGCCAAAAGGGAAGCAUUAAACACAGUAUUGAAGCACCAACCCCAAAACCCAGGGAAACCAAAUCCCGUAAAAUGAUCAUACAGCAUCAAAAUGAAAAAUGUUAUGGAUGGCUGUGAUGGGUCUGAGGAUGUGGGGUCCAAUGAGAGGUGAUGAUGAUGGUGAUGUUGAUGUUGAUGUGUGGUAGAGGAUGGAUGUGAGGGAGAGGUAAGUAAUGAUGGAGUGAAUGAGGAUGUGUGGGAAGGAAGCUAGGGUUUGGUCUUGAGUCCAUGUGAAGUUGAGGACUUGUGGGUGGCUUACAAGCAAUAUUGGAGUGUUAAGCUGACUGAAUUUGAAGCCAUGGCUGGUUUUGGGGGAAGAUUGAUUUGGGAGAGAUGAUGCUCAGAGGAAUGGGGGAGUUUAGAAAGUUUGGGAUAAUGUGAGGGGUGUUUUAGGCAUAUUUUUUCGUCUUAGCUUAAAUUUUUGUUAAAAAAAUGAUAAAUUCUUUUCUCAUAUCAAUUUAAAACUCCGAGUAUGUUUCCAAUUCUUCUUCUAUUUUUGGAUUUUGGAUCAUAAUUUUUGAAUCCAAUAACGGCCUCUUUAAUUAUAAAAUAUGGUAAAAGGGGAUGGGAUAUAGUGUCUUAGGCCUUUGUUUCAACGGCAUCUUUGGACGCGGGUUUCUUUUUUUUCUUUUUUUUUUUGGUUAUUUCUUCUCAAACUUGUGCAGAUUACAUGCACUCAACGUCGAACCCUUUUGUAUGGUAAAGUACAUCGAGUAAGGAUUUCUAUAAUCAAGCUAGAAAGUACAAUUAAAAUUAGAUAUGAGUGCCGCGGAGCAUAGUUUUAAAGUUACAAUAUUAAAGUAUUUAAUAAAUAUUUAUUAUUGUGACUUAAAAAUUAAGUUGGGAGUAUAAAAAAAUCAAUAAUACAUUUAUUAAUUUUGUAGGAAAUUUCUUCUUCCCUAAGCGGAAAAUACAAAACAAAAACAUAAUUGGCAAUUUCACUAGCAAAACUAAUAAUAUUUUGUUCCAUAUCCAGGGGUAGAGCUCGGGGUAAAUCUUCAUGAGGCCCAAAUUCAAAUUUCAAGUGUUAGCUGGGAAUUAAUUUUAGACAAUUUUUUUAUUUAUUUAUAGCUAGUAUGUAAUUGUUAGGUAUUUCAAAAUUUGAGAAUUUUGUGAUUCUGUGAGAAUGUUGAUUCAAGCAUGUUUGCAUUCUUCUUAUACUAAUAGGAGAUAUUUAAUUUUUACCCUCAAGUCAAUGUCAAUGUGAACGUUCUUUUGUGCUGGAAAUUAAAGGAGUCCCCACAGGAGUCACCGUCUGGGGCUAGCUUUCUGAUCAAUAAUUGAGAAUUUUGCUUGUAGCUACAGGCUGCAGCGAUUUUGAUUUGGCGACUUUGAUUCAUAAUUGAAGUUACUGUUGCAAGUAAAAACUAAAAAAAAUUAACAAAAUAAAAAUCAAAGACUUAGGCCCAUGUUCUAUCGAAAUUUUAAUAAAAGGCUAUUUGUCAUUUUGUCAUAAUGAAAAAAUAAUUAAAAAAAAAUCGAAUUUACUUGAUUUUAUUUUACAAAGUAUAAAUUAAAAUUCUAUUAUAUGUAUAAAGUUUAUACAUCAAGUGUUUAGGGGUCAAAUCAAUCUUUUUAUACCUAAUUUUUAAUAUUUUACUUCGAAACCUCAAAAUUUUUCAAAGUUUGUAGGGUCACAAUCUCCGGAGUGGGCAAAUUUGUGUUCAUAUCAACUUGAAUGGGUUUCGGGUUGAUUAAACUAGAAUUGGAUCAGAUCAAAAAGUAUGAGAGAAAUUAAUUAAGCUUCUCCCAAAAAAAAUACAUUUAGAUGAUUGAUAUAUAACCAUUAAAUAAUAAAUAUAUUAGACAUACUUUUAUUUUUUAGCCCAAAAAGUAUGAGAGAAAUUAAUACUUUCUGAAUUUAUUUUUUGUACCUUAAAGAAUCAAAUUACUCACAAAAUUAUUUUUAACUUUCAUGAUGCAAACAAACAAAUCAUCAUUAAUUUCUAUAGAAAAAAGUAUUCUAGGUAGAAAUGAUUUCUGUAGCAGAAUAUGAUGUAUUUGGGACUUCCAACUCUAUUAGCUAGGUUAAUAACAUGUUAAUUGUCACAUCAUUAGUUUUAGAUUAUAAAUUUUAUAUUCAAACUUUGUAUGACUGCUCCUUUUUCAAUGAUCUAACUAAUUGAUCUUGUUUCAAAAGAAACAAAAAAUAAAAAUAAAAUUAAGUAAUGCCAUGAUCUAAUUGGUCUUGUUAUUGACAUGUACUAAUGCAUUCUAUAUUUCUAAACUUUGUACAUUUUAUUGAUAUGUUUCUCUUGAGAGAUAAGAAUCAUUAUGUGGCAAAAUUUUAUUAAAGCUGGGAUUAUUUAUGUUCUAAUACUUUGAACAUUAAUUUUUAUUCUACUCUUUAGAAUACCUAAAUAAUCCUUACCUAAACAUCUUUCAUAAAUGUUUUUUGCUGGGGCUGCUAAAAUUCAUAAUCGAAUUCUAGUUGAUGUGGCUUGUGUUCCAUCACAUUAAUGUAGAUAAUAAUAGUUAAUUCAAUUAUUUACUUCUAUGCUCUUGUAAUGAAAAUUAACAAAAAGGGCCAAAAGGGAGGCAUUAAUCACAGCAUUGAAGCACCAACCCCAAAUCCCAGGGAAACCAAAUCCCGUGAAAUGAUAAUUCAGUAUCAGAACCAAAACAGCAAAACUAAACACAAACUAAACAAUCUGACAAUCAGUGACCAAUCUGCCGCAACCCCAGAACACACAAUAGAUAGUACCCGUACAUGAUCACAUGCACACUUGCAUUGGUAACAAGCGCAAUUGGAAGCAAAGACCGCUUCGUCUGUAACCAAAUGUAGCACAUUACAACGACGGUUGCAUGGUGGUAGACGUGGAGGAACGUGAGCCGUUGGAUGGAGUUUGACAAAAUGAUCAAAAGGGUGUCUGGGAAUUCGAGUAUUUUUUAGAGUUAAAAAUGUAAGCGUAGAAGCAGAGGGGGCCGUGGGAGAAAUGGUAGGGGGGAAACAGGGGAAGUAGAGGAGGUGAGGUGAGUGGAGGAUGAUCGAGAGGGUGCAACCAGCGGCCAUGAUGAGGGAGAAGAGGAGGAGGGUGAGGUUAUGGAUGGCUGUGAUGGAUCUGAGAAUGUGGGGUCCAAUGAGAGGUGAUGAUGAUGGUGAUGUUGAUGUUGAUGUUGAUGUUGAUGUGUGGCAGAGGAUGGAUGUGAGGGAGAGGUAAGUAACGAUGGAGAUAAUGAGGAUGUGUGGGAAGGAAGCUAGGGCUUGGUUUUGAGUCCAUGUGAAGUUGAGGGUUUGUGGGUGGCUUACAAGCAACAUUGGAGUGUUUAGCUGAUUGAAUUUGAAGCCAUGGCUGGUUCUGGGGGAAGAAAGAUUUGGGAGAGAUGAUGCUCAAGAGGAAUGGGGGAGUUUAGAAAGUUUGGGAUCAUGAGAAGGGUGUUUUGGGCAUUAUUUUUGUCUUAGCUUAAAUUUUUGUUAAGAAAAUAAUAAACUCUUUUCUCGUAUCAAUUUAAAACUCCGAAUAUGUUUCCAAUUCUUCUUCUAUUUUUGGAUUUUGGAUCAUAAUUUUUCAAUUCAAUAACGGCCUUUUUAAUUAUAAAAUAUGGUAAAAGGGGAUGGGAUAUAGUGUCUAGGCCUUUGUUUCAACGGCAUCUUUGGACGCGGGUUUCUUUUUUUUUUGGUUAUUUCUUCUCAAACUUGUGCAGAUUACAUGCACUCAACGUGGAACCCUUUUGAAUGGAAGUUACUGUUUUGCUGGAAUCGGGACCAAUUUUUUGACAAAAAUUUCGUUAUAAAAUAUGCAAUUAAAGUCGAGUAAGAUUAAGUAAAGUAACAUCUUGUAUGGUAAAGUACAUCGAGUAAGGAUUUCUAUAAUCGAGCUAGAAAGUACAAUUAAAAUUAGAUAAGAGUGCCGCGGAGCAUAGUUUUAAAGUUACAGUAUCAAAGUAUUUAAUAAAUAUUAUUAUUAUGACUUAAAAAUUAAGUUGGGGGAUAAAAAAAUCAAUAAUACAUUUAUUAAUUUUGUUAAAAUUAUUAUUUAAAAAUCAUAUAUACAACACAAGAUCAACAUUUAUAUUAUAGUUUCAGUUCCUUUUUCACAAUAACUAUAACUACAACACGGUAGUACUAAAUAGGAAGUCGAGUAUGAUCAAGUAAUUACAUAUUAUGGUUUUUUGGUAUUACAUGAUUCUUCAAACUGAAAUUUGCGAUCAAAAUUGUAUCAAAGAAAUCACAAAGACACUCUGUUUGACAAAUCUGCAGUAGAAUUUGCACAAUUUAAGUGGGUUGCAGAGAGUGAAUAAGAUUCCGAAGCAACAGGCAAUUAUUGUUAUUAAGAAAACAAUUCAUCGCUAGAACAAAAUUAACUUUUCUAACUUACUAGAAUUUAACCGGAGAAAAAUUGGAAUAUACGACGUUGUAACUUGUAUCACAUAUAGUAUUUAGACAUCAAGAAAAGAAUCCCUCUAUCAGUGAACUAUACUUGCCAGGAAACACGGUGAAAUACCACCACCUCCCUACUAGAUUAAUGCAGCAAAAUACUCCAAGAAAUUCACCCAGUCACAUUCUUCCGGACUAUCCUCUUUCUUCGCACUUCAGGAGCUCUUGUUUCCCCUUACAGAGUCGGCAUUCCCUUGUUUGAUGCCAAGGAGCCCAAGCCCAGAGACAAUGGCAUUCUUUGAUAUCAACCACCUUGGGGACUUUUGAGUUGAGCCAUUGACAUCCUGAGAUGGCCUGUUGUAAGCCUUCUUCAAAAGGUCAUCUGACUGAAGUAGCGGAUCCGCUUCCACUACUUGCCAAGCAAGCCUUGAUCUUUCUCCUAAUUGGACAUUCAAAACCCUGCAUGGAAUCCAUUUGAGAAGUUGAACAAUAGACAAAGUCCAACACAUAUAGGCAGUAAAGAAGAAUUUGGACAGCAAUUACUGAUUGUUUACGCACAGGGCUGAACAAAUGGGUAUAUUAAGGCACUUAAAAGUUGGAACCAUAUUCACCACUUGUGUUUCCUUAGGGAACUACCUCAGAGUUCAGUUAAUUUAAAACUAUUCUUACGUAUUUAACUACAAAACUAGAGAAAUCGUACUUCUGUAGCGGAGUCUCACUAUUGUUAAGGAUCUAGACUUGGAAAGUAUGCAAGUUGAUUAGGUAAAGAAAAAUUGAAAUAAUACUUGGUCAUAGAUCAACACACUUCAAUAGAAACCACACUAACAUCAUAUCAGACAAAUAAACAGAUUCCCCCAGUCAAAGUUUAACAAACAAAACAUUAAAACAAGGAUAAGAACAGUGCUACUCCAAUAACAUCAAUAUGGUUGACGACCGCUCUAUCAAAUCCAUUGGAAAUUGUAUACUUAUAAUUUUUUUUUUCAAACUUUGUCUAAAAUAAAUGAAUGAGAUAGGAUAAAUUCGAAUAAAUUAAUCUGCAUAAUGACACAAGAAACAAAUGUAAAUUGACCACAAGUCCACAAGUAGAAAUAUACUUUUGUUAUAUUUAGAGCAUCUUCCAAUUUCUUUCCCUUGAGCUCUGUUUCUUCGAGUGCUCAAAAGCAAGACACAGGCCUCAAGAUAUAAUUAUCAUCAUCAAUCUUUUGCAGCCACAUGCAGUACUUGGAAAAUGUUUACGGCCCUAAAUAACUGGAAAAUCAGAAAACAUUAAGAACAAGAGACUAAUCAUUUUAAUCGCAACGAAACAUGCACACUAUGAAAAUAUAAAAUUGAAUUACUUCGAAUGGAUGUGCCUCUUAACAGGAAUUGCACAAGCUAAUGAGCAAGUGAGCCUUCGAAUGAAAAUCUAAAUCCUUGCAGCCUGCGUCAUGCAGCUUCUCCCAAUGAGUAAGUGAGCCUUGAUCAGUUAUCACUCAGCUCAAACUAAAAUGAAAUUACUGUGGACAUGUGAAUUAAAAAUAGAUAUAAUAGCAGUUUUCUCAAAGCAAAGUCAAGAUAAGCGAUUAACUCUCCUCCGUAAUUACAUUAAAAAUAACAAACAAUGAAAAACAGAGCUAGAGAAGAACUUACCUGUGCGUUGAGACCAUGUGGGGAAUGUAAGAUAUCUUCUUAGAUUUGGUUUGAGAAACCCUGCCAAUUAAAAUUUCGGUCCCCAUGUAGCAGAAUUUCUUAUUUUUCCUUUGUACACAAAUGCAGACACUUAAGCAAAUUAAGAUUUCUUACCUAAAGCAAAUUAGGAUUUCUUUUGACCCUGCAAGUUACAAUUUCAGUCCCCAUGUAAUAGGAAAAUUUUGUGCACAUACUUAUAGCAAAUUAAUAUUUCAUACCUCAUGAUAUUUAUCAUAACCAUCAAUCUUUAGAAACCACAUGCAGACUUGUUAAGCUGUUUAUGGCCCAAAAUAACAGGAAAAUUAGAACAGAUUUUUAAGAAUGAGCGACUAAAUAUUUCAAUGGCAACUAAAAUUACACAUCUUGGAAAUCUAAAACUCAAGUACUCAGAAUGAAUGUGCCUCUUCACAGAAAUUAAACAAGCUGGGAACUUUAGUGCAAAUGCUUUUUCAUAAUCUUCAAUUGCAUAAGUCAGUUAGAAUCAAUCUUUCUUAAUCUUUCAAUUCACAGAUGAGAGCCUGAUAACACAAGGAAACACUGUAAGUGAAUUGGCAACUGUGACAAAUUUUGGGUAAAAAUCAUCAACUGUAGUUAUUCGCAUAACAUACAGUGUCAACACCAAAUUCCUUCCUGAUCCGUGGAAGCAUUUCAGCCCACGGACGGCUUGCUUUGUCAAUAUAUAUCAAGCUUUGUAGCUUUUAAGAAACUGAGAGGUGAAAGACCUGGAAUUUUCGAUAGCAACUCAGGAUUCUAUAUUUAAAUUAUGAUGUUCGAUAACUUACUGAUACAAAAGACAUUGUCCCAAGCACUUUUUUACAGGAGCUAAGAUCAAGCCAGUCACUUCCAUUUGUUGCAGUUUUAACGCAGAAAGAAAAAGGGAGAAAAAAAUCUGCAAGAUACCGCAUGUUCGCGGAAGCAGAGUUGAAUAAUUACAAAAUUACAUUCUUGAUUGCACAGAAAUGAUAUAUAGCAAAACAAGCAUAAGGAAAUAACAAUAUAAUUUUACAUUGUUCAGCUUUUGGUCUACGUCACAGUCAAAGACGUGAAGAGAAUUUUACUAAGAAAUAAGAGUGUACUAAUGUCAAAGAAAAACAUUCACUAAUCGCUGAUAUAUGCUUAAUUUCUCACUCACUCCAAGAAGUUUCAUUCUCCCAUAAUUCACUCAAAUGAAACUUUCAUUGGAAGGUCCUAUUAUUAAGGCUUUAGCAUCACUUCAUAUGCUCAACAAUUCAAAUUUGAGGAUGUUAUUUCACAAAAUGGAGGGCUCUAUUUGGCUUGUGAACAAUCUUCCUCACCAUCACCAUCAUUGCCGUACCAGUAGCACUGAACAAUCCUCAUUCUGACAUUUGCCCCAAUUAUCUGAUUACACAAGAAUCCAAAACAACUGUUAGAAAUUUUAAUCUUUAUAUAUAGCCAAAAUGGUGAAUAAGAUGAUGUACUUGAUAAUAAAAACCUGAUUUAAUAAAUAAUUAAGGGACCGAUAACAAGCACAGAAUCUCAGCGUGUGGGGAAAGCCUUGACAACAGAAGAUGGUGCUUUCAUUCAAGCAAUGAUAACUUUCCAAUUUCAUAAGGUAGCUUAAUGCCCUUUUAAGAAUAUCUGCACCAGCCUGACAAUUAUUCAUGGAAAUUCAAAUUCAAUCAUGUUCGUAUGAGAGAUGAAAUGUAAUGAGCGACUUGGCCACCAUAUAUGCAUUUAUCAUCCCCUAUAGAUUCCCUGUUACCUUGCAGCAAGAGGCAGGCCUUUGCACUUGCGUGCAAUUUUUCGCCCGAUUGGUUCUAAUUUUUCACCAUCCUCCAAAGAGCGACCGGAAAAUGCUAACUGUUUGAACAACAACCAACAUUCCUCUUCCGUCAAUUGCUCAAUGAAGAUAAUAUUUUUUGAUCCCAUCAUACGUGCAACUGACUCAUUACGUGUGAAAACCAAAUUUUUACUUCCGUGGAGACCAUGCUUUAGACAAUGCCUUCUUCUACAUUUAAAGUAACUUUGAGCCAUCCAUAGUGUAAUUAGUUCCUCUUUACACAUAUUGUAACCUUUUGAAAAGAUAGCACAAUGUGAGAAAUAUUGUUUUACUACGGACGAUAAAUCAUUAUAACUUAACAACAAAGGAGUUAAAAGACCUUUCCCAAACUCUUCUACCUUCCACAUUCCACUAUCUAAAAUUAUUUUCUAUUCUUCUAUUGGUCAUUUAUAGUGUAAGAAUUUCCCUAUUAUCUUUGCAACAAAAGGCAAGCCUUUGCACUUACAUGCAAUUUUUUGAUCGAUUGAUCACGAUCCUUGAAGAAUUGACCCAAAAAUGCUACUUGCUUAAACAAUGACCAACAUUCUUCUUCAAUUAAUUCCUUAAGAAAUGUAAGAUUUGUUGAUCUCAUCAUGCUUGCUGCUAACUGAUUGCGUGCAGUAAUCAAAAUUUGACUAUUGUAGAGACCAUUCUUUAAACAACAGAAGAAUGGUUCCCAUUAAUUGUAACGUCCAUCCCACACAUCAUUUAAGACAAGAAAAAAGUAUCUUUCCGUCAAUACAUUUAUGAAUAUGGCUUACAAGAGAUAACCUAAUAUUUGAACAUCGUCUCUGGGAUGGUUGCUCCUUUGAUUGUGUUGUCGCACCAUGAUGACAAGUGAACUUGUCUGAUACCAGCUGAUGAUGCAGAAACACUAAAAGGCUAUUAGAUAAUAUAAACUAGUAUUUGAAUAAUAAGUUUUAUUAAGAAUAAUUUGAAUGAACAAAAUUAGGGUUUUGAAUCCCUUUUAUAGGAGCCUAAAUAUAGCAAAUUUAACAAAAUAAGCAAAUUCAAAAUAUUUUAUGAUAAUAAAAUUCUUCGAAUCUAAAUAAGAGAAAGAAAACAUAUGGCACUUAAAUCCAAUAUCUAGAAAAAAUGAUAAGAAUCCUAGAAUAAUCAAGAAAAAUAAAAAAAUAUCUUAAAACUGAAAAACGACUAUAAAAGAAGUGAAAUUUUUAGCUCAAUCGCAGGGCAUAACAGCCUAGGUUGUUCUGCAUUUGGUUCGACUCAUCACAAGCUUGGAAACUAUAUUAUAUGUCCAAAACGAACACUCGUAGCCCAAUUUCUAGCCUCAGAAGAUACCCAGCUUAUUCCAUGCAACCAUCUUAUAUCAACUUGCCUUCUCUGCAUCUUCAAGCACAACUUGAAUGUCUUGAAGAUUUAUAACAAGUCACAAGCAGCAAAGGAGUUCAGCUGCUCCGGGAGAGGGGAAGCGAUCACAUCCAUUCUGGCAAAGAAAAGGAGAAAUAAUUUCAUAAGUUGUUCAACGUACAUUUGUUGCAAAAAUACGUUUAUGGUUAUUGUCGCCUAACCCACGCGUCAAUAAUUUUAGCAUUUUUAAUUUCCCUGAUUCUACUCCACAGCUGUGAUACAUAAUUGUAAAUAUUCUCUAAUUAAUUUGUAGUGGUCGGGCCAGUGCCAUUUAAAAAAAAAAAAAAACAAAACAAAAGUUGGAAAAAAGCAUGCAUCACCGAUAAUUCAUUUAUUUAUUUGAGGACGGGGAUAUUUUCUACCCACUUAUUUUACAAAUCUACCUUGCUGUCAGAAAAUAAUUGUGUAAUACGUUCAUACUAUUUUUAAAAUAUAUAAAUCAAUAAAACGUAUAGACAAUCAAUAAAUUAAAUCAUUCAUAUAAUUUUUUUUUUUUAACUUAGGUGUCUUUGACCAUUUAGGUUGCUUUAAGAUAAGUUUCAUUAAAACCAAAUUAGAUUGGACCUGUGAAUUGCUAGUGUGGUUCUGACAUUUCCUCGAAUCCCUGGUGAACAUAAUUAAACAAGUAUGAAAUAAAACAAAGUUAUGUAAUGUACUACAAAAAACAAUUACACAAUUACUUUAAAGAAUUAAUGUCACGUAUAUUAUAUAUAAAAAAAUACGAUUAUCAUUAUUUAAGAUAAAAUUGAUAAUUUAGUUUUCAACAUUACUGCAAACGUAUCACAGAGAUUUUGUCUCUCAGCAAGUUACACAUAACAAAUUUCCGUACAUUAAAAAAUAAAUUACAUUGCACGAAAUUUUAAAAAAGAGCCCAUAUUUUUUAAAAGUAAACAUAUAAAUUUCAAUAGACUACACUUGUUUUUUUAUUUUUUAUUAUUUAAUCUUUAGAAAACAAGUUUAACAGAUUUGAUAACUAGGAAGUUUUACGUAUUUAUACCAUGAUUGAUUCUUUAUAGAAUUUUAAUUCAAAAUAUAUUAUUUUAAUCAAUUUCAUUGCAAGCAACAACGAAGUAAAUCAGAGGAGGAGGAGAAAUUACCAGCCUUGAUGUGGGGAAUGUGGGAUAUCUUAUGCCAGUCUUCUCCUUUCCCCUCUCUAUAACGGUUUUCCAGAAGAGGACAUCUGUGAAUAGUCAAUUCCUGCAGCGUCGACGUUCGAAGGAGGUAAUCCGGCAGCACCUUUAAUUUGGGGCAACUCCAAAUUUUCACAACAAUAAAUAGUCAGUUCCUGCAGUGCCGUCGUUUGAAGAAGGUAAUCCGGCAGCGCCUUUAAUUUGUUGCAAGAACCAACUGUUAAGGAAGAAAGACGGGGCAUGAUGGAGAUGUUUUCCUUCCUCGUAAUCCUGUAAUUCCACUCUUCCAGUUCUUUCAUUCCGUGAAUUUCGAGUGAUUUCAAUUUGGGGAAGGCAAUAACUGAUGAUGACGUGAAAAAGUGUUUAAAAAACCAAAGUCUUUUUUCUUUAUUCGAAUUAGAAUAAAAAUCAUUAUGCAAAAGAGUUUUAUCCAAUUCAAAUUCUUUUUCAAUAACAUUUAUUACAUUUUCAGUAAGGAAAUAGGAUCGAAGGAUGGAUGUGAUUUAAGAAGAUCUUGUAAAUCAGAUUUUAAUAAGACAAAAGAAAUAAAUGGAUCUGCUUUGGAGUGCGGUUUGGAACGCGGUUGAUUGCUUUUAAAAAUCACUUGAAGUACGUGACUUGUUCUCCGACAGUGCAGACCAGACUAGUGCCUAUUCAGGAUAUAUAUAUAUAUAUAUAUAUAGAGAGAGAGAGAGAGAGAGAGAGAGAGAAAUGUUAUAGUCCGGAAUUUUAAAAUGUGGGAACGUCCGGGAAAACGCAUUAACCGUUCAGUUUAAGCACUUUAAGUUUUAAGCAUUUAAAACCCCACGAUUUUAAAAUUUUUCCGAAUAUUUCCCGCACUUUAUGAUCCCGGACCAGAAACUACUAUAUAUAAAGAGUGGAUAUUGAGCCUUUUAAUGCUUUAACUUAAGCAAAAGUAAAAGAUUAUAAAGAAAAGGGUGUAUAUGUUCAGCAAGAGAAUUCCUAUUACCUUUGCAUUAAGGGGUAAGCCUUUACACUUGUAUGCAAUUUUUCAUUUGAUUGGUUAUUGGUUCUAAAUUUUGAAGAUCCUCAAAGGACCGCCAAAAGCAUACUUGCUUAAACAGUGACCAACAUUCUCUUUCAGCCAAUUCUUUUACUGGGGCUGAGAGAUUAAAGGCAACAUUAUUGGGGCCGAGCGAUUACUUAAUUUGACAUAAAUUAAGAGUAGACGCCGGCUAAUGAAAAUUACAUGCCAACUAAAGAUAUUGUCUUGAACAAAUUGGCAUAAUAAUUUAUGCCAACGCUUGAUAUGAAAGCUUUGUUGCAACAAAUUGGCAUGAAUUUUAUUUUAUCUCUCUUUCUUCAAGGUAUUAGGUAAUUGCCCUAUCCCAAAAACAAAGAAAAAAGAAAAAAGAAAGUAUUAGGUAAAUGCAUGUGAAUUAGACAUUUGGCCUCCGGGAUCAUAUAUUUAUAUUAAAGACAACCACAUAACCACAAAUACAAUGAAAAGUCUAAAAAUUAUUGUUCAAUUUCUAAUUCCUCGCAAGUGCGAAAGGAAACAUUUUCCAAGAAUAAAACUAAGAUGCAUUUCUAGGAAUAGUUUUCCAACUGAUCUAUAUUUUAUAAUAUUUUAAGAUUUCUUCAUUUUUUUUCAAAAGAAAAUUUUAAUUUAAGAUUAAGCUCAUUAAAAAAUUAACAUCAUUAUAGAUUCAUUCAAAAUAUUAUAUGUGCAUAAAUACAGAAAAUUCAAGUGACACAAUUGCGAGGGGUACUCGGGUUUUAAUGAUCUUUUUUAUCUUAAUUAAUUAUUGGAAAAUUUUAUUCAUUUUUUUUUAAAUCCUGAGCAAGGUCAACUCCUAAAUGCUUUUGUACGUAUGUACGUGUGCUUGUGUGUAUGUGUAAUAAUUACAAUAUUGUCUGGUUAAUCCACAAUUUCAUCAGCAUCAUUAAUCCAUUGUGAGUUGAGAAAUAAGCCAUGAAUAAGUUCUUGAGAAGUUCAAAGAUAAAAUAUUUAUUCUGACACAAAACGUCGAAUGAUAUAAAAUGUUGAGAACUAAUAAUAGUUUAGUGUUUGGUUUAAGUUUCAUGAAUUUUGUGCCAAAUAUGACGUUGUAAGGUACAAGAAUGUCAGGCGUACUUGGCCGAAGAAUGGAUUAGGAGGGACGACGGAUAGGAACUUGAUUUACAAACUCAAAGCUACCAAAGUCUCUUCGGCGGGGAAGUUUUACAACAUUUUGUGCGGUGAGUCGAUAGACCCAAUAGGAUAAUGAUUGAUAAAAAGAAAUAAAAUUAAUGUUUAUACCUAGAUUGAGAUAUAAAUUUGUUAUCCAACUUAUGUAUUAUAUAGAGAGAGAAAUGUCGGGUUAGCCGACAUCGAUUGUGAAAGAGCCUGACCUCAUAAAUGUGAGGAAAUAUCUCUCUUUGAGCUAGCUUUUGAAGUCGAGAGAAGUCCAAGACCAUCUAACAUUAGUAUCAAAGCUCAGGUUCACCAACAACUCAACCAACAAUCUAAUAGGGAGAAUAGAUGCUUAUGCUCCCAACCCAAGACCCAAUGAGUGAGGGGAGAUUGUUGGGAUUAUCCCACAUUGGUUGUGGGAGGAGCUCAUGGAGAUUUCAUAAGUAUGAGAAAAAAAUCUCACUUAUUGAGCUAGCUUUUGACUUUUGAGGUUGAGAUAAGCCCAAGACCACCUCACGCGAAAAUUGUAUAGUGUUGGAAUAAAAAUUCUACUACCAAUAGUGGGCCGAUUAUUGACCAUUAAGCUUAAAUAUUAAAAUAUUCAUCCUAAAUAUUGAGAUUCAUCAUGAAAAAAAAAAAAAAAACUUCUCAGUUUUGGUAACAACUCAAAUAGUCUAGGAGUGGAAAUUUUUUUGAAUGAAAUACUUAAGCACAAAUAUUCUCUAAUCACUUGAUGUUUUAGACUUUAUAAAAAAUACACGACCACAUUUUUUUUAUAACAAUUCCACCUGAUGUUUACAAAAUGUAUAAUUUCUACACUAUUGUCAUCACGCCGUUAGAAUUUUACUCAUGUCAGAAUGAUAAACUUGUCAUUGGACUCUUAACGGACAAAAACGACGUCGUAUUUAAAGAAGAAUUAUAUAAUCCCAUCUGCUUGAAACUUUCUACAAUGACAAGACAUAACUAGUAACGGACAACCUGCUGUGCCAGUCAUUUUUCUCCUUCGAUUGGGAUCGUCGAUUUCUUUACUAAAAUCAACGAGUGAAUGAUUAUCAGCAUCAGGAGCCAAAGAAGGCAAACCGCCACAUUUUUUUUCGCUGUGGUCCUAUAAUUUAUUGAAAAAAUCAAACGAAUCAUAAAUUUUCUCUUCUGCAACGAUUGCCCCAAAAUAACGAAGUUAAUGAGCUAAAAUAACACAACAUAUAUACAACACAGUAUCAAACUACCACCAAAUUUUAUCACUUAACCAAUAAACUAAAAAAAUUCAAGGUUUAAAAAAAAUUUGAAAGUUUAAAUUCUUAAACGACUUGGUAAUAAGCCCCAAUCCGCCAUCGCCACGAUCCAGGGUACAGGUACCAGAUUAAAGUGCGUUUUCUCUUGAGCUCUCUUUUAAUUAUUUUAGUUUUAAUUCUGAUUUUUUAUUUUAUUUAUUAUUUAAUAUCUAUAUUGCAGUCAUCUAUUUUUUUCGUCAUUAAAUUAGGGCAAAUUAGUUAUUUUAUGUUAAGGGUAGAAUAAUCAUUUACAUUUAGGGUAAAAUAAUCAUUUUCUCAGUAUUAUGUUAAAUUCUCUUAUGCUGUUAUGACGGAAGUAGAGCAAUGAUGCACUUUAAACAUUAGGAAUUGUGGGAACGAGAACAUUUUUGAAUGAAAUACUUAAUAAUUAGCAACUCAAAAUAUAUCAUUUGUAAUGAACUACUUAAUUUGCAAUUUCUUUAGUUUUGGAUGGCAACUCGGGAUUCUUCAUUUAAACUAUGACGAUUUAUAACUUGCGGGUACACAAGACAUUGCUCCCACCACUUUUUACAGAAGCAAAAAUCAAGCCAAUCGCUUCCAUUUGUGGCAAUUUUAUCGGAGAAAGAAAGAGGAAAAAAAAAAAAAGAAUUUUGUAACUACUUAACUUUGCCGAAGCAGAGUUAAGUAGUUACAAAAUUGCAUUCUUGAAUGUACAGAAUUGAUAUGUAGCAAAACCAAGCAUAAAGAAAUAAGAAGAUAAUGUUAUAUGGUACGGCUAUUAGCCUAUGUCAUAGUAAAAGACAUGAAGAAAAUUUUACUAAGAAAUGGGUGUGUACAAAUAUUAAAGGAAAACAUUCACCGACGACCCAAAUCGCAGAUAUGUGCUUAAUUUUCUUACUCACUCUAAGAACAUUCAAUCUCCAAAAAUUCAUUCAAAUGAAACUUUCAGAAAGACUUAAUAUUAAGGCUUUAGCAUCACUUCAUAUGCUCAACAAUUCAAAUUUGAGCAUGAUAUUUCUCAAAAUGGAGGGCUCUACUUGGCUUGUGAACAAUCUUCCUCACCAUCAUCAUCCUUGCCAUACCAGCAGCACUGAACAAUCUUUGUUCUGACAUUUGCCCUAUUUAUCUGAUUACACAAGAAUCCGAAACAACUGUUAGAAAUUUUAAUCUUUAUAUAUAUCCAAAAUGGUGAAUAAGAUGAUGUGGUUGAUGAUAAAAACCUGAGUUAAAUAAUUAAGGGUCCGGUAACAAUCACAGCAUCUCAUCAUGUGGGGAAAGCCUUCGCAACAGAAGACGGUGCUUGCAUUCAAGCAAUAAUAACUUUCCAAUUUCAUAAGGUAGCUUAACGCCCUUUCAAGAAUAAGUGCACCAGCCUAACAAUUAUUCAUGGAAAUUCAAAUUCAGAAUCAUGUUAGUAUGAGAGAUGAAGUAUAAUAAGCGACUUGGCCACUAUAUAUGCACUUAUCACCUUCAAUUUGCUCAUCUUCGUCUAGAGUAUUGUUUCUGCUUUAACUUAAUCAGCUUGCAAGCCACAUAAAAAUGGUUUUAAAUAAUAAGUGAGAGUGUGAAUUCGAACAAUUAAUCAAAUAUGAUGACCGAAGAGACAAAAGUAAAAUAGCCACAAGAAGUAGAAAUAUACUUUUGUUAUAUUUAGAGCAUCUUCUACUGGCAAGUUCUUUUCCUUUAGCUCUGUUUCUGUGUGCGCUCAAACGCAAUGCCUCAAGGCUCAAGAUAAUUUUAUGACCAUCAAUCAUUUGCAGCCACAUGCAGACUUGAAAAACUAGUCGUGGCCCUAAGGAACUUGAAAAUUAGAAAAGAUUCAGAAUGAGUGACUAAAAUAACUUAAUCGAGACUACUUAAACAUGCACGCCUUGAAAAUCUGAAACUGAAUUACUCAAAUGAAUGCGGUUGAAACUUUACUGCAAAGACUUCUUGAAACCCAUGAAGAUGAUACUCUACCUGAUAACACAAGGAAACACAAUCAAUACAAGAAGAUGAUUUUACAAACAAAUGAGAGCCUAUAAUUAUUGGGAGAGCUCUACUCAAAUUUGAUGAGAUAUCUCUCAAAAGGGAGAGCUCCAAUACUAUAUAAAGCCAAAAAUCUAACACUCAUCAAACUGGCUUGUGAACAAUUAAUCUUCCUCGCCAUCAUACAUGCCAGGUGUAGUGAACAAUCUUCAUUCUAACAUUUGCCUUAAUAAGCUGCUUAGCAUCCUUAACCUGAUAAAUUGCACAAACAAAAACAACUUUACUAAAGUUUAUUCUUUAAAGGCAUAGCAGUAAAGAAGAUGAUAUCUGUUUAUGCUAAAAAUUGACCUGAGUUAUCCGAAUGUCAAGAAUCACAGCGUCUCAUGUGGGCAAAAUCAUCGCAAUACAACAUGCUGAUUUCAAGCAACAUCUUAUCACCUGUAAUUUAAUUAAGACAAUAACUUUCCUCAACCAUUACCCUACUCAAUUUCAAUGUAUUAUUGGCAACUAAAUUCAUAGGGUAAGUAGCUAAUCAAAUGCUCUUUUAACAAUAUUUCUCCAAAUAACAAAUAUUCGGAAAAUCUAAAUGACAAUCAUGCAUUUAUGGCAUCAAAAUUUGGCUGCAAAGCUGCCUGGAAAAGGCUUUAAAUUCUUAAUGAGGGCAUGAAUUCGAACAAAUAUGGUGAAUAAAGAAACAAAGGCAUAAUACCGCAAGAAGUAAACCUUUUCCUCAGACUUCUGUUUCUGUUUGUGCUGAAACCAAUGGAAACCGAUGGAAAUGAAUUUCUAUGAAUUAGACACAUCAGCCAAAACAGGUACUCUGUACAAAGAAAGUAAAAGAGAGUCAUAGAAAAAUUUUAAGAUAAUUAAACUUUCAGUCACCAUAUCAUUAAUAGAAACUUUGUGCACUACGAUCUAUUGCAGAUUAAGAUUUGUAUACCUAAGUUUUAAUUGCAAACUAAAUAUACACAACAUUAUACCAGCAUUAGGAGGCCGUACCAAAAUGUACCGAAUUUAGUGUGCCUCUUCACAGCCAUUGUACAAGCAUCGAAGACUUUACCGCAAAAGCUGUUUCAAACGUGAUGCACGUUAGAGAUGCAAGAUAUGAAAUUGUCAUUACAAGAAGCAUUGAAACAUGUGUGAAAACUGUUUAUGGACCUAAAAUAACUUGAAAAUCAGAAAGAUUAGGAAUAAGUGACUUAAGCAUUUUAAUUACAACUGAGCAUACAAACCUUGAAAAUCCAAAAUUGUACUCCGAUGAAUGAGCAAUUGCACGAGCAGCUAAAUUUACUGCAAAGGCUAUUACAACCCUUGAAGAUGAUACUCUACAUACCUACGCAAAGAAACACAGUGAAUAUGAAGGGUAACAACUUUGAAUGCAUGCAUGGCAACAACUUGUCAAAUAUUUGUGCCACCAACCUCCAAUUUGUCAAGAAAAAACCGUGUGAAAAUAAGCUUUGUGGGCUGACUUUUCAACAAUUCUCUACCUCGGUGAAGAUUUAGUAAAUCUGAGCCGACUAUCAACAAACUACCUUCCAGUUUCUGCUUUCUCUGGCUGCUUUUAAACUUGUAAGAUGUUGAUCAAGUUUAAACAAUGCUCAAACUUGAUCGCCGUCACUACCUUGGUCAACAUAUCUGCGGGAUUAUCUGCAAUUUUAAUUUUCUAAAGAAGAAUCUUCCCCUCAUCAACAAUUCCCGCACAAAGUGAAAUUGUACAUCGAUGUGCUUCGUACAUGCAUGAUAAACUCGGUUCUUCGUUAAGUGAAUAGCACUCUGACUAUCGCAAUACAUAUUAAUGUGCUCCUGUGCCAAUCCCAAGUUUUCAAGCAAACCUUGUAACCAAAUAGCCUCUUUAACAGCCUCUGUAAUUGCCAUGUACUUGGCCUCUGUGGUCGACAGUGCAAUUGUAGACUAUAGUGUAGACUUCUAACUAAUUGGCCCUCCAGCAAAAGUAAAUACAUAUCCGGUGGUUGAUCGUCGUUUGUCUAAAUCACCAGCAUAAUCAGAAUCAACGUACCCGAUCACACUUUGACCAAGUGUAUCGUCUCUUUCAAACAGUAAAUCAACAUCCAUGGUCUUCUGAAUGUACCGUAGAAUCCAUUUCAUAGCUUGUCAAUGUCCUUUACCAGGAUUAUGCAUAUAUCUGCUCACUAUACCAACUGCAUGUGAAAUGUCAGGCCUUGUACACAUCAUUGCAUACAUCAAGCUACCCACUGCAUUUGAAUUCGGAACUUCUAACAUGUAUUCUCGUUCCGCAUCUGUUGAAGGAGAUAAUUGUGCAGAAAGCUUGAAAUGAGAAGCCAACAGGGUACUCACAGGUUUUGUCUGCUCAGUCAUGCCAAACUGUUGUAGUACCUUCUUCAAAUAUUGCUUCUGAGACAAGCUUACUUUGCCACGAGCUCUAUCUCUGCAUAUCUCCAUGCCAAGAAUCUUCUUAGCUUCACCUAAAUCUUUCAUUUCAAAUUCUUGAUUGAGUUGAGUCUUGAACUUCUCAAUUUCAUCUUUGCUCUUCGAUGCUAUUAGCAUAUCAUCGACAUACAAUCGCAAAUAAAUGAAAGAUCCUUCUUGUAACUUGCAAAAAUACACACAAUGAUCAAAUUUAUUUCUUGUGUACCUUUGCCCUUUCUUAAAUCGAUCCAACCGCUUAUACCACUACCUUGGAGAUUGUUUCAAUCCAUAAAAUGACUUUGUCAAUUUGCAAACCCAAUUUUCUUUUCCAACAACCUUGAAUCCAUCUGGCUGAGUCAUGUAGAUUUCCUCUUCCAAAUCACCGUGUAAAAAUGCAGUUUUUACAUCAAGUUGAACUAGUUCAAGAUCAAAUUGCGCAACCAUGGCUAACAAAAUUCGAAUAGACGAAUGUUUCACAACUGGAGAAAAUACCUCAUUGUAGUCUAUUCCUUCCUUCUGAGCAUAACCCUUCGCUACCAAUCUAGCCUUGUAUCGAAUUUCAUUUUUACGAGGAAAUCCUUCCUUUUUUGCAUAUACCCAUUUGCACCCAAUUGCAUUCUUUUCCUUGGGCAGUGUAACUAACUCCCAAGUUUCAUUUUUGUGAAGAGACUGCAUUUCUUCGUUCAUUGCUUUCUUCUAUUGUAUACUUUCUGGGUUACUUACUGCUUCUCUGUAAGUGGAAGGAACAUCAUCAUCUACAAUUGGAAGUGCAUAGGCCACCAUAUCAACAAAGCGAGCAGGUUUGCGAAUCUCUCUGUGUGGCCUUCUAUAUGCAAUUGAAUCUUGUUGUUGUGAAGGUUCCUGGGUCAGAACCUCUUCAUCAUUUUCGGUCGAUGGAGAAUCAUUAUCCAUCUCAUCGACACCAGCUGGAUCAGCUUUAACUUUUUAAACUCCACCUGCUGCAAAGUGCUACUGGUUUCGUCAUCCUCUUGAGAAUAUUUUUGUUUCAACAUGGCUGAUUCAUCAAAAGUUACAUCUCUGCUGAAAAUAAUCUUCUUCGUAACAGGACACCAGAGACGGUAUCCUUUUACUCCACCAGUUAUACCCAUGAACAAUGCUUUCUUUGCUCUUGGGUCUAACUUAGAUUCUUUUACAUGUUAAUAAGCAGUGGAACCAAAAACAUGUAAAGAAUUAUAAUCAGUAGCAGGUUUACCAGUCCACAUCUCCAUGGGUGUUCUGCCCUCAAUUGCAGUUGAUGGCAAACGGUUGAUCAGAUGGCAUGCAUAUACAACUGCCUCAGCCCAAAACUCUUUGCCCAAUCCAGCAUUGGACAACAUACACCGAACUUUCUCCAGUAUAGUCCGAUUUAUGCGUUCUGCCACCCCAUUCUGUUGUGGUGUAUCUCGAACAGUGAAAUGUCGCACAAUACCCUCAUCUUGGCAUAUUUGAAGAAAUGGAUCAUUCUUGUACUCACCACCAUUGUCUGAGCGAAGUCUUUUGACCUUUCAACCAGUCUGAGUCUCGACCAUUUUCUUCCAUUUCAGAAAUAUGCCCAAAACUUCAUUUUUGUUCUUCAUUAAAUACACCCACACUUUUCUUGAAUAAUCAUCAACAAAAGUAACAAAAUAGUGCAUACCUCCCAAAAAAGCUGUUUUGGUAGGUCCCCGCACAUCACUGUGAACAUAGUCUAGAAUUCAUUUUAUAUCGUGAAUUACUGAACCAAACUUUACCCUUGUCUGCUUGCCCAGAACACAAUGUUCACAAAAUUCUAGUUUGCAAGAAUUUGUACCUUUCAAUAAGCCUUGCUUCGCUAAAGUCUGCAAAGCUUUUUCACCAGCAUGUCCCAAACGCAUAUGCCACAACUUGGUUGCUUCUAAAUCUGCAUCUUUUCCAGAAACUAUUGAUGCUGAUCCAAUAAUUGUACUUCCUUGGAAAUAGUACAAGUUAUUUCUUCUUAUGCCUUUCAUCACCAUUAGCGCCCCAACUACUACCUUUAAUAAUCCAUCUCUUAAAGUGAUUGUGAGCCCUUUAGAUUCUAGGACUCCUAAUGAGAUGAGAAUUUUCUUCAAGCUUGGUACAUAGCGAACAUCUGUCAAAACUUGGAUUGAGCCAUCAUGAUUCUUUAAUUGGAUUGUACCUAUUCCCAUAGUUUUACAAGCAUUGUCAUUGCCCAUAAAAAUAACUUCACCGUCUAGCUCCUUAAAGCUAGAAAACCAGCCCUUGUUAGGACGCAUAUGAUAAGUACAACCCGAAUCCAAAAUCCACUCAUCUGAGCAACAUAUCAAUGUCAUGCCAACCAGACUAAAGUUUGACUCCUCAUCAUGCUCUGCUACACAUGCAUCAGAAGUAGUCUUGCCCUUUUGUAACUUAGGACAAUUCUUUUUCUAAUGUCAUUUCUCACGAUAAAAAGAACAUUCAUCUUUGGCAUGUCUCAAUUUAGACUUACUCUUUUUUCCAGGUUUGCGACUUUGCGAACGACCUCUCGCUGUCAAUGCUUCUACAACUGUAUCUCUGUUAUCCUUUUUGUCUUUCUUUCUGGUCUCAGAGUUGUACAAUGCACUGCAUACAGCAUCGAACGUGACAUUGUCCUUCCCAUGAAGCAAAGUAGUGGUGAGAUGAUCAUAUUCAUCAGGAAGUGAAUUCAACAACAAUAAUGUCUUAUCUUCAUCUUUAAAUCUCUCAUCCAAAUUUAGCAAAUCCGCUAAUAUCUUGUUGAAUGAGUUCACGUGGUCAUUCAUUGACAUGCCAUGUGUAUAUGUAAAUCGAUAGAGUUUCUUUUUCAUAUAAAGCCUAUUUUCAAGACUUUUCUUCAUAUACUUUUCUUCUAGUGUCUCCCACAAUUUCUUUGCCGAUGUCUCCCUCAUGACAGAGUAUUUAUGAUCUUUAGCCAGACAUAGGCGAAUAGUACCACAUGCCUGUCUAUUGAUUUUUAUCCACUCCUUGUCAUCCAGCACGUCAGACUUUUCUUCAAGAGCAACGUCCAACUCUUGUUGACAUAAGCCAUCCAACACCUCACAUUGCCACAUACCAAAAUUAUUGGUACCAUCAAAUUUCUCCACUUCAAACUUUGCAUUAGUUACAGUAGUCCUCGCUGAUAAAGACGACGACGAUGCCUCUGUCAUCCUUUUUAUCUCAAAUGAUCAGUUUCUUCAACAAUAAUUUACACUUAACAAACAGCCUCUAUGAUGUUUAUUUCGCGUGAAUAAAUGCACCAGGAAAGUUCCCAGGAAACUGGACGGGAACUAGGUCCCAAUUAAAAACAAGAAUCCUUAGACUCUUAUCGCCUUUGUUGACAGAACUUUCCUAGACAUGCAAAAAUACACACUACUUACAAUAGACUGUCUCCCAAGUAUAAAUGGCCGUCUCUACCGUAUUUGUGAACAGUGCCGUAUAUGGAAAUAGUACCAUAUACAUGAACAAUACCGUAUCCGCCCAAGUACGAAUCGUCGGCUCUGAUACCAUUUGUUGCGGAAACGUGGGUUGAGCAAUUACUAAUACUGCAACUUCUGGAGAAAUAUAAAUGUGGUGUUAAACAAAUGCAAAGAAAAUAUAACAUAAUGAUUUACAUGGUUCGGCAUAAUGCCUACAUCCACAAGCAAAAACUAAAAAAUAAUUUUACUAAUAAUGAAAAUUUACAAAAGUGGGAAAAACUCACAAAACCCACAACCCCAAUACACCAAAAUGGAACCUCACUAGAACACUCAAGUGGAAGCUCUCUCAAAUUCUCUUAAAGAACUCACUUGCAAUUGCUCUCUACUUCUCUCAAAUUGCGAUGAUUAACAAAUGAGGAAUUGCCUUCUAUUUAUAAGGAAAAAUGGGGUGCACUAUUGCACCAACCCCAACAAAAUUGUCAACAUAAAUUAGGCACCUACCUUAGGAAUUUGUCUUCAAAUUUGCUUCUCCAAAGUUGAAUGCAUGCAUGGCAACAACUUGUCAAAUAUUUGUGCCACCAACCUCCAAUUUGUCAAGAAAAAACCGUGUGAAAAUAAGCUUUGUGGGCUGACUUUUCAACAGCAUGUACUUCAACGAACAAGUAAGACCAUUUAGCAAACUCCUCAUGUUCUUUAACUUCCCAAUCCCUGCAGGCAAUUCUCUAAGAUUUCGGCACCCCCUAAUAUCUAGCUUUUGUAAAUUAUAUAAUUCACACAAAGUCUCAGGCAGUCUCUUUAUGUGUAAUUCAGACAAAUUAAGAUAUUAUAAACAUCAAUUUUCUGACAUCUUUUGGAAUUUCUCUAAUCAAAUUUGGGUCAAGACGAAAAAGCAAGAACGAUUGCCUUAUAACUAAUGCUCUUAAACACGCCAAUUUACUAAAUAACUCAGGAAUGAUGCUACUAUCAAGAGACGAAUUGGAAGGACUUUCAUCAUCAAUUAGGAGGGUACGCAAUCUAUUAAGUCCAUGAAUGGGCAUAGGAAAUGAAGCGCCUCCUUUAAACUUUAACCCUAAGGGACAAACUUUCCCACCAAAAGAGUUUAUGACUGAUUCUUUGGUACCAUUAAUUUCUAGCCACAAACAUUCUUUGCUACUUACAAAUUGAGCAAAAUCAUGUACUAUGUCAUGCAUCUUGAAAUUCAUAAUACCAUCAUCAUCAUUUUUCUCAAACUCUUGAAAGAAAGAGCGUGCUGCUAAAAUGUUGAAACACUCUUCCCCAGUCAUCUCCAUCUCUUCAUAUUCUUCUGCAUUAAGGUAACCUUGAGCCAUCCAUAGUGAAAUUAGCUCCUCUUUAUACAUAUUGUAGUCUUUCGGAAAGACAGCACAAAAUGAAAAAUAUCGUUUUACCAUAGAAUUGGACGACAAAUCAUUAUAACUCAACAAUAAAGGAGUCAAAAGACCUUUCCCAAUCUCUUCUGCCUUCCACAUUUCACUAUCUAAAAUUCUUUGCCAGUCGUUUAUUGCACUUUUAGAACGCAAGAGAUUCCCUAUUACCUUUGUAGCAAGAGGCAGGCCUUUGCACUUGCGUGCAAUUUUUCGCCUGAUUGGUUCUAAUCUUUCAUAAUCCUCGAAAGAGUGACCAAAAAAUGCUAAUCGCUUGAACAACGACUAGCAAUCCUCUUCAGUCAAUUGCUGAAUGAAGAUAAUAUUUGUUGAUCCCAUCAUAUGUGCAACUAACUCAUUACGUGUAGUAACCAAAAUUUUACUUUCGUGGAGACCAUGAUUUAAACAAAGGAAGAAUGGUGCCCAUUUCUGAAUUUAUUUUUAUACUGUAAAAGGAUCAAAUUACUCACAAAGUUAUUUUAGCUUUCAUGAUAUAAACAAAUAAUCAUCAUUUAAUUUCAAUAGAAAGAAGUAUUCUGGGUAGAAUAUUGACUUCUUUAGCAGGGACUUCUUACUCUAUUAGGUUAAUAAUGCAUCGAUUGUCACGUCAUUAAUUUUAGAUUUUAAACUUUAUAUUCAAACUUUGUAAGAUCAUCAUUUCUCCUUUUUUAUUUAAAAAAAAUUAACUUCUUGCAUGAUCUAAUUGGUCUCGUUUCCUCUCAACAACUUUUUCUUUAAAACACAUUUUUAAAGCCAAUCUCUACAUCUCUCCGAAAACUUUUCCUCUCCAAAUUCCUCAUCUCUUCCUCACAAAAUCUUUGGAGGCAGAAAUCUUUCUUGCCUUCUCCAGUGGAUUCUCUUUUUUUUUUUUUUUUUUGGUUGCACCCACCUCUUCCUUAUGAUUUGAGGAUGGGUGUCCUUCCCAUCCCACACGUCAAUAAUUUUAGCAUCUAUAAUUUCCCUGAUGCUACUCCACAGCUGUUGUACAUAAAUGUAAAUAUUCUCAAACUACUUUGUAGUCGUCGGGUCAGUGCCAUUUAAAACAAGAACAAAAAACCAAAAUAAUAAUAAUAAUAAUAGUUGGAAAAAGCAUCCGUCACCAAAUAAUUUAUUUAUUUGUUUGAGGAUGCGGAUAUUUUCUACCCACUUAUUUUGCAAAUCCACCCUGCUGUCAGAAAAUAAUUUAGUAAGUUCAUAAUAUUUUUAAAAUAUGUAAAUUGAUAAAAUAUUUGGACAAUUAAUAAAUUAAAUCAUUCUUAUAUAUAUAUUUUUAACUUAGGUAUCUUUGACCAUUUAGGUUGCUUUAAUUUAAAAUAAAUUUUAUUUGACUAUUUGACCAUAAUAAUAUAAAAUGACUGAAAUGCCCCAAGAAUCAUGAACUCUUGUAUAUAAUAGCUUAAUAAUUUAAUUUAAUUUGAUUCAAUCUCUAAAUUUCUUCUUUAUUUGAUUUUUUUUUUAAAAUAAUGUGAACUUAUUGUAAUUAUUUCUAGGGAGUGGGGUGGGUUUACAAAAUUUAUAGGCCUUUUUGUUUAUUAAUUAUUGUAAAAUGCGUAUCUAUCAUACAAACACAUGCUUUGUCUAUAUCAGCCCUGAACGCGACCCUUUUUUCUAUCUUCGCUGUAUUAUAUGAUUAACUUUAACUUACCCCCUACUUAGGAUGAUAAUCUUUAAUUUACCUUUAAAAAAUGUGAAACAUCAACUUAAUCUAGUUACCAUUAAGAAGACAAUAUAUAAUAAUUCUCAAGUGCGGACACUUUCAUUUUUUUUAAUGCGACAUGCUGCUAAGUCAUGUGACAUAAUAAAGUUAAUCGUGCGGUUUAACAGUAUUAAAAAUUCACGGUUUAAUACCAUGUCUGUAUAAAAAAGUGAGGGCGCUCAUACUAGACAAGAACUCUGUAUGUGUGUGUACAUGUACAUAUCAAUGCACCCCAUCAUCUUUUGUUGAAUAAAAAUACAGAUAAAUUGAGGGUAUCAUACUUUGAUGAGUAAAUUGAAGAUUGUUAUUGUUAUUCCAAGUAGGCAAUAAAAAGAAGUUUACUUGUAAUAGAUAUCAGGUAUAUCAGGUAUUUCAGGUAGGCCAAAAAAGUAGUGGUUCUGUAAUCAAUUUCUUUUGUUCUUUUAAUUAAUUAGAAAGAAAAAUUAAGGGGAGCUUUUGUCUAUUGAAUUGAGCUUCUGUCAAGAAAAGUAUGUAUCGGAUGAUCAAUAUAUAACCUUUCAAUAAUAAAUUUGUUAGACUUAUUGUUAUUUUUGUGACUUAAAAGUAUGAGAGGAAGUAAGCGGGCAUUCAGUAUUGUUUUUUACUGGCCAUUGUCAUUUUACUUUUGUAAAUUCAAGUAAAAUUAGCGUUCGGUAGUCCUUCUCAUAACAUUUAAUUGUAAAACACAGAAUCUAACUUGCCGUUAACAGUUGUAAAUUACAAAACAACUGAUAAAUGUUUUACUUAUUUUAUAAAAACAAUUGUAAAAUAAAUUACAGUAAUAAAUACGAUUAUAAUAAAUAAUAAUAGUCUCCAUCUUUAAGUCUCCAGGACCUCAUCCAUCUCACUAACCCUAUCUCUUAAGUCUCAUCUUCCUCCGUGAUUUAUGAACUGAAUCUCCUUCUUCCAUUCUUCUUCCUCGGUUUGUUCUAUUUUUACUUCAUAGUACUUUCUUUUUUGCUGGGUCUUUUUUUUUUUUUUGGAUGGAUUUAUGUGUUCUUAUACAUUUUCUUGAAUUUCAUUUUGAUAAAAUCACCAAAGAUCUGUAGAGAUUUACAUUAUUUAUCUGAGUAUUUGGUUCUUUAAUGGAAGCAAGCAUGUAAUCUUUCUCCCAUAAGUUUUUAUUUGAUCAAAUGUUAAAAUGUUGAACGGAGAAUUAGAAUUUUUUUUUUAAAUAAAAGGAGAAUUAGAUUUAAUAUUUUUAAAAAAAUCUUUUUCCUGUUUAUGUCCAGUUCGAAUCUUUUUAGCAAAUGAUCUAAUCUCAAGCAUAGAAGGUAGGAAGAUAGAUUGAACAGUGAACACAUUAACAAAAAAAAGUUAUUUAAAAAAAUUAAUAUUAGAUGUCACAAAAUUUUAUUAUUAUUAUUGUAAGUUGGUAUAUUGAAAAAUAAACAAACUUUUUUAUAAACUUUAACACAAAUAUAAUUCGCAUGCAGUAAAAUUGUUUAAUAUAUCCAUUAUUUUAUCAUUUUUAACUUUAUCUAUCAAAUGCUUAUUGUUAUUUUCAUUUUAAAAAAUAAGAUAAAUAAAAUAAUACCGAAUACAUAUUUCAAUAAAAAAUUUAUCAAAAACAUCAUUUUCUUUCUCAUAAUAUAAAUUUAAAAAAAAAUACAGAACACGCCCUAACAUUUUCUAAAUUUAUUUUUAUACUGUAAAAGGAUCAAAUUACUCACAAAGUUAUUUUAGCUUUCAUGAUAUAAACAAAUAAUCAUCAUUUAAUUUCAAUAGAAAGAAGUAUUCUGGGCAGAAUUGACUUCUUUAGUAAAAUAUAACCUAUUUGGGACUUCUUACUCUAUUAGGUUAAUAAUGCAUCGAUUGUCACAUCAUUACUUUUAGAUUAUAAACUUUAUAUUCAAACUUUGUAAGAUCAUCAUUUCACCUUUUUUAUUUUUUUAAAAACAAAUUAACUUCUUGCAUGAUCUAAUUGGUCUCGUUUCAAAAGAAACCUCAAAAAAAAAAAAUUAAGUAAAGUAAAAGGAAAUAAAUCAUAUUGCUUAUCUUAAUUACUUUCAUUUGUUAUCGACAUGUACUCAUGCAUUGUGUUUUUUUUGUAUAUUUUAUUGAUACGUUUCUCUUAAGGGAUAAAACUCAUUGUGUCGCAAAAUUUUAUUGGAGCUGGGAUUAUUUAUAUAUGUUCUAGUACUGUGAGCAUCUUACUAUGCACUCGUCUAUAUUUAACAUUAAUUUUUACUAAUUGAAAUAUCAAAAUAGUCCAUACUAAACAUCUUUCAUUAAAGUUCUUUAUUUAUUUAUUUUUUGGAUACACUAAUAUAUUAUAAUUAGAGUUCGUAAGAGAGUGUAUUACAAGAAAAGAAGUGCAAAUCAAGUAUAUAAAAUCACAAGAUCAAGCAGCUGAUAUCUUCACCAAGUAGCUCAAGCAAAAAGACUUCGUAAGAUUUAGAAGUUUGCUUGGUGUCACAGGAUCAAGUUGAAGGGGGGUGGAUCAUAAACUUGAUUCAAGAUGAAUAAAUUCAAGCCCAACUCAUGGAAGGUUUCAUGAGUAGGUAUGGUUGGUGAGGUUUGAAUUAUUUGUGUUAGGUGUGGUAGGUUUGGUAGGUGAAGAUGAAUGAUUAUAAAUUUUUUGUAAUUUCUUAUUUGAAUGGUUAUGAUUAGCUUGUUUCAUGUAUAAAUACCUCCUCUCCCCUUCGGUUUAAACAUCAAGUGAAGUAACAAAAUCUCUAAGUUGUAGAGAGUGAAAAAUAAGAGUUGUAGUUGGUGAGGAGUGUUGUUGAAGAAAUAAAAUAGUGUGUUUUUUUAGUGUUAUAUGUGUUAAUUCUCCAACAAAGUGGUAUCAGAGCUAGUGUUCGAUGCUAUAUAUAGUCAUAUAGCAUAUCAAAUCGAAGAUCGCGAUGAGAGGAACAUAAUGUCGCAAACAUCAUCCCGAUCAAAGAUCGGACGCGCCCACGCUCGCCGUCGGAAUUUUUCUGUCCUGAAGUUGAGUCAACUCACUGAGUUAAAUUAAACUGAGCUGAACCGAACCAAGCCGAGCCGAGCUGAACCAAAUCAAGUUGAACGGAACCAACUCAAGCCGAACCAAGCUGGACCGAACCAAGACUACUAAGCCGACGUUGACCGUUGACCAAUGUUGACCGUUGACCGAAAGUUGACUCGAGUCCUUCCCAAGGUUUUUCAACGUGCCAGAUCCAUCCGUGCAUUCCAAAUCUCAAAAUUCUCACUCAAUUUGUGAGUUAUGACAAAUGGUGGUAUGAUGUCAUUUCAAGUUCCAUAAUUAAAGGAAAGUAAGUUUGACAAUUAGAGUAUUAAAAUAAAGACUCUAUUGGGUGCACAUGACGUAUGGGAUGUCGUGGAGAAAGGUUUUAUUGUGCCAGAAAAUGAAGCCACUUUAACUGUGGCACAAAAGGAGAAUUUUAAAAACUUGAAGAAGAAAGAGAGUAAAGCAAAGUAUCUCAUCUUUCAAUCAUUAGAUGAAGAUACUUUUGAAAAGUUACUAGUACAACAUCCUCAAAAGAAGCAUGGGAGAAACUAGAGACCUCUUACAAAGCAGCAGAGCAAGUUAAGAAGGUUCGUCUCUAAACAUUACCAGGGGAAUUUGAGUCCUUACACAUAAAGGCGUCUGAGUCAAUUUCUAACUACUUUACUCGAGUUGUGACCGUUUCCAAUGAAUUAAAAAGAAAUGGCGAGGAGUUAAAAGUGGUAAGGAUCAUUGAAAAGAUACUUCGAUCAGUAGACUCAAAGUUUGACCAUAUUGUUGUGACAAUUAAGGAAAUAAUAGAUCUGGAGGAUAUGACAAUCGAGCAACUUCAAGGAAGGUUGCAAGCUUAUGAAGAAAAACUAAAAAAGAAACAAGGAACUGAAGAACAACUUCUUAAGAUGGAAGUCAAUCCAAAGAAAAAAGAAGAAAGCUCCGACAACGAGAGAAAGUACUAUGUCCGAGGUAGAGGUCGAGGACGUGGACAAGGUUGGAAUUUCAACAACAAUAACUCCAAUUAUGCCAAAGGAGAAAGCUCAACCAGAGGACGAGGCAGAGGCAAUCCAAGAUCGAGGUAUGACAAAUCCCAAGUACAGUGCUAUAAUUGUCAAAAGUUUGGACAUUAUGGUUCAAAAUACAGAACUCCAAGCACCAGAAUUGAGGAGAGAGUAAAUUAUGCUUAAGAGAAAAAUGGUGAAGAUGGCACAUUUUUCCUACUAGCAUGCAAUGACACAAGUGAAGGUCAAUAAAAUACAUAGUAUCUUGAUACAGGUGCUAGCAAUCAUAUGAAUGGAAAUAAAAGUAUGUUCUUAGAACUAAGUGAAUCUGUGAAUGGCAGUGUCACUUUUGGAGAUGAUUCAAAAGUACCAGUGAAGGGUAAAGGUAACAUUCUUUGUCGUGCAAAAGAUAGUAGCCACCAAAUAGUUUCGAAUGUUUACUAUGUACCCAAUAUGAAAAGCAACAUCCUUAGUUUGGGUCAACUCUUGGAAAAAGGCUAUAAUAUUCACUUAAAAGAUUGUAGUCUUUUCCUAAGAGAUGACAAAGGAAAUUUAAUCACAAAGGUGAAAAUGUUGAGGAAUAGAAUGUUUCCUUUAAAUAUUCAAAAUGAUGUUGCAAAAUGCCUCAAGGCCUAUCACAAAGAUCCAUCUUGGAUUUGGCAUCUUCGAUAUGGGCAUCUCAACUUUGGAGGAUUGGAACUACUAUCCAAGAAGAACAUGGUGAAAGACUUACCAUACAUCAAUCACCCUGAUCAACUUUGUGAAGGGCGUUUACUUGGCAAGCAGUUCAGAAAGAGCUUUCUAAAAGAGUCAAACUCAAGAGCUUAGAAGCCACUUGAGCUCAUUCAUACUGAUGUGUGCAGUCCAUUCAAACCAAGCUCCCUUGAUAAAAGUAACUACUUCCUUAUCUUCAUAGAUGAUUUUUCAAGAAAAACUUGUGUGUAUUUUUUAAAUCAGAAAUCAGAAGUCUUUGAAGCUUUCAAUAAGUUUAAAGUUGCAAUGGAAAAAUUAAUCUGGAUACCAGAUUAAAGCCAUGAGAUCUAAUUGAGGUGGAGAGUUCACUUCCAAAGAAUUCGUAUAGUUUUGUGAAGUAAAUGGAAUUUGAUGCCCUUUGACAUUUCCAAGAUCCCUCAAACAAAAUGGUGUUACAGAAAGAAAGAACAGAACCAUCCUCGACAUGGUAAGAAGCAAACUCAAGAUAAAGAGGCUACCUGAAGAAUUUUGGGCUGAAGCUGUUUCAUGUGCAGUCUACUUAUCCAAUCGUUCUCUAACAAGAAGUGUGUGGGGCAAAACACAACAAGAAACUUGGAGUGGAAGAAAGCUCGGCAUCACCUAUCUAAGAGUUUUUGAAAGCAUUGCCCAUGUACAUGUACCAAAAAAAAUUUGAGCUAAGUUGGAUGAAAAAAGUGAGAAGUUUAUCUUCAUCGGCUAUGACAACAACUCCAAAGGAUACAAGCUUUACAAUCCAAACAACGGGAAGAUCGUGAUCAGUCGAGAUGUAGUUUUUGAUGAAGAAAGAGAAUGUGAUUUUGGCUAUGGUGUGGAUAACUUCAACUUCUUUCCCAUUAAAGAAGAUGAUCAUACACAGAUAAAACAAGUAGAAGAACAACAAGAGUCAGUUACUCCACCUAUCUCUCCAGUAUCAAUCACAUGUGGAGAUUCACCGCCAUCUUUUUUAAAUGAAAGAACCGAAGAACGUACAAAGAGUCUUCAAGAUCUCUAUGAGGUAACUGAGAGACAUGAUAAUCUCACUCUCUUUUGCCUCUUUGCUGAUUGUGAGCCAGUCAACUUCCAAGAAGUUGCACUAGGUGAGAAGUGGAGAAUUGCAAUGGAUGAAGAAAUCAAAGCCAUUGUGAAGAAUGAUACUUGGGAGCUUACUACUCUUCCCAAAGGUCAUAAGGUGAUCGGUGUCAAAUGGGUGUACAAAACGAAAAGAAAUGUGAAAUGAGAAAUUGAAAGGCACAAGGCGAGGCUAGUUGCCAAAGGCUAUAGUCAAAAGGCUGGCAUAGACUACAACGAGGUAUUUGCUCCUAUAGCUCGACUUGAAACUAUUAGACUUAUUAUUUCUUUAGCUGCUUAGAACAAAUGGAAGAUUCUUUAAAUGGAUGUGAAGUCUGCUUUCUUGAAUGGAUUCCUUGAAGAAGAGGUUUACAUCAAACAACCAUUAGGCUAUGUGGUGAAAGAACAUGAAGGCAAAGUUUUGAGAUUGAAGAAAGCUCUUUAUGGGUUAAAGCAAGCACUAAAGUCAUGGAAUAGCAUAAUGGACAAGUAUUUUCAAGAGAAUUGCUUCACCAAAUGCCCAUACGAACAUGCUCUCUACGUCAAAGAAAAUGAUGGAGACAUUUUGAUUGUGUGCUUGUAUAUGGAUGAUCUCAUCUUCAUUGGAAGUGAUCCAAGCUUAUUUGAAGAGUUUAAGAGAGUGAUGAUCAAAGAGUUCGAGAUGACUGACAUCGGACUGAUGGCAUAUUGCCUCAGCAUUGAAGUCAAGCAAAAGGAAGAAGGCAUAUGUAUCUCCCAAGAAAGCUAUGUAAAGGAGAUUCUCAAAAGGUUCAAGAUGAAUGAUUGCAAGCCUAUAAGCACGCUAGUGGAAUGCGGAGUCAAAUUAUCCAAACAUGAUGAAGGCGAAGAUAUAGAUCCAACAUUCUUUAAAAGUUUGGUCGGAAGCCUACGUUAUUUGACAUGCACGAGACCAGAUAUCCUUUAUGUUGUUGGACUUGUGAGUCGAUAUGUGGAGAAUCUAAAGACCACUCAUUUUAAAGUUGCAAAAAGAAUCCUUCGCUACAUCAAAGGUACAACUAAUUUCGGCUUGUUAUACUCAUUUUCUAUUGACUACAAGCUUGUUGGAUAUAGCGAUAGCAAUUGGGGUGGAGAUGUAGAUGAUCGAAAGAGCACUACAGGAUUUGUGUUCUUCAUGGGAGAUACUGCUUUCACAUGGAUGUCAAAGAAACAACCAAUUGUCACGCUAUCCACCUAUGAAGCUGAAUAUGUAGCUGCCACAUCAAGUGUUUGUCAUGCAAUUUGGCUCAGAAAUUUGCUGAAGGAGUUGAGUUUGCCACAAGAAGAGCCAAGCGAGAUUUGUGUUGCCCUAUCCAAGAAUCUAGUCCUUCAUGAUCAAAGCAAACACAUAGAUACUCGCUAUCAUUUCAUAAGAGAGUGUAUUGCAAGAAAAGAAGUGCAAAUCAAGUAUGUAAAAUCACAAGAUCAAGUAGCUAAUAUCUUCACCAAGCCGCUCAAGCAAGGAGACUUCGUAAGAUUCAGAAGUUUGAUUGGUGUCAUAGGAUCAAGUUUAAGGGGGUUGUUGGAUCAUAAACUUGAUCCAAGAUAAAUAAAUUCAAGCCCAACUCAUUGAAGGUUCCAUGAGUAGGUAUGGUUGGUGAGGUUUGAAUUAUUUGUGUUAGCUGUGGUAGGUUUGGUAGGUGAAGAUGAAUGGUUAUUAAUUUUUGUAAUUUCUUAUUUGAAUGGUUAUGAUUAGCUUGUUUCAUGUAUAAAUAACCCCUCUCCCCUUUAGUUUAAGCAUCAAGUGAAGUAACAAAAUCUCUAAGUUGUAGAGAGUGAAAAAUAAGAGUUUUAGUUGGUGAGGAAUGUUGUUGAAGAAAUAAAAUAGUGUGUGUUUUUAGUGUUAUAUGUGUUAAUUCUCCAACAGUAAUAUUCUUUAUUUAAAUCCUAACAAAUGGUGGGAUUUGGACUUGUGGCUACAAACAUUGAGUCCUCAGCGGCUGCAAAAUUUCAUAACUUAAUUUUAGUUGACGUGGCAUGUGUCCUAUCACAUAAAUGCAGAUAAUAAUUAUCAAUACAUUAACCAAAUGAAAAUUAUUAGUUUUAAAAAUACAAAUCCGAAUUUAAAAGGGAGGGACUAGACAAAUGUGGUGACAAAUGACAUGCAUUACCAAAACUGAGAAUACUAAGUCAAGGCAACUGAAAACAUCUCUGUCAAUUGCAAUCAACCGAUCACAACCAUUCAUAAUUAACCAAAAAAAAAAAUCAAACUAGUAUUUAUUUUUAUCAUCCCUGCUUUUUCUUAGCAUAGUCCUCGGAAUGAAAAUUAAAAAAAAGUGUCAAAAGGGAAGCAUUAAACACAGCAUUGAAGCACCGACCCAAAAUCCCAGAGCAACCAAAUCCCGUAAAAUUAUAAUACAGCAUCAAAACCGAAACAACAAAACUAAUCACAAACUGAACAGUCUGACAAUCAGUGACUAAUCUCUUCCACUUUGGCAGCAACCCCAUCACGCACAAUAGAUAGUACCCGUACAUGAUCACAUGUACACUUGCAUUGGUGACAAGUGCAAUAGGGAACAAAGACUGCUUCGUCUGUAACCAAAGGCAGCACAUUACGACGACGGUUGCAUGGUGGUAGACCGGGAGGAACGUGAGACGUUGGAUGGAGUUUGACAAAAUGAUCAAAACGAUGUCUAAGAAUUCGUGUAUUUUGGAGAGGUAGAAGAUGUAAUCGUAGAAGAAGAGAGGGCCAGACGGAGAAAUGGUAGGGGGGAAACAGAGGGUGUAGCGGAGGUGGGGUAAAUGGAGGAUGAUGGAGAGAGUGCAACCAACGGCCAAGACGAGGGAGGGAGGAGGAGGGUGAGGUUAUGGACGGCUGUGAUGGGCUUGAGGAUGUGGGGUCCAAAGAGAGGUGAUGAUGAUUGUGAUGUUGACGUUAAUGUGUGGUAGAGGAUGAAUGUGAGAGAGAGUUAAGUGAGGGUGGAGAGAAUGAGGAAGUGUGGGGAAGAAGCCGGGGUUUGGUUUUGAGUCCAUGUGAAGUUGAGGAUUUGUGGGUGGUUUACAAGCCAAUAUUGAAGUGUUGAGGUGAUUGAAUUUGAAGCCAAGGCUGGUUUUUGCGGGAAGAAAGAUUUGGAAGAGAUGAUGUUGAGAGGAAUGGGGGAGUUUAGAAAGUUUUGGGAUAACGUGAGGGGUAUUUUGGGCAUAUAUAGUUGUCUUAGCUUAAUUUUUGUUAAAAAGAAAUAAUAAUAAAGGAUCCUCUUUUCUCAUGUCAAUUCAAAUCUCCGAGUGUGUUUCCAACAGUUGCUUUUCUUUUUCUAUUUUUGCAUUUUGAAUCAUAAUUUUUCAAUUCAAUAUAAUGGCCUCUUGAAUUGUAAAAUAUGGUAAAAGGGGAUGAGGUGUAGUGUCUAGGCCUCUGUGGGUGUGACAAAGGUAUCUUUGGACGUGGCUGUCAUGUCAUUAGAUUUUUUUGGCUAUUUCUGCUCAAUCAAACCUGUGGAUUACAUGCACUCAACGUGGAACCCUUUUGAAUGAACGUAAUGGUUUUGCUGGGAUCACCGAAACCGAAGAAGCAUGGAACUGGGACCAAUUUGUUGACAAAAGUUGAAGUACAUCAAGUAAGAUCUUGCACUGUGAAGUACAUCAAGUAAGGAUUUCCACAAUCGGGCUAGAAAGGACAACUGAAAUCCGGUAAGAGUUUCGUAGAGCAUAAUUUUUAAGAUACGACGUUAGAGUAUUUACUAGACAUUCAUAAUUAUUACUUAAAUUGAUCUAAUCUCCCGCUCUAGUAUAAAAAACUUAAAAUAUUUUUAAUAAUUUUAUCGAAAUUAUUAUUUGACAAUCAUAUUUACUUCAUAAUAUCAACAUUUAUAUUAUAAUUACAGCUAAUACUGAACAAGAACUCGACUAUGAUAAAGUAAUUAAAAGUAAUGGUUUUUUGGCAUUACAAGAUGAUUCAAACUAAAACUUGGAUCAAAAGUGUAUCAAAGAAAUCACAAAGACGCUCUGUUUGACAAAUCUACAGCAGAAUUUGCAAAAUUUAACUAGGUUAGAGAGAGUGAAUAAGAUAUAAUUAUCAUCAUCAAUCUUUGUUUAUGGCCCUAAAUAACUGGAAAAUCAGAAAACAUUAAGAACAAGAGACGAAUCAUUUUUAUCGCAACGAAACAUACACUAUGAAAAUCUAAAAUUGAAUUACAUCGAAUGAAUGUGCCUUGUUUGGGGAUAAAUAGAGUAUUCAAAAUGAAGCGUCAUGUGUCGAUACAAAGGUUAUGUAACUAUUAGUUAUUCUCUGGGGGUACCCGAUCUACACCAUUAGCUCGGUACCUAAGAUAUCCAGCCUAUACAAUAGACUCGGUACCCGAGGUACGUACACUAUAAACUUGAUACCCGCCUACACUAUAAACUCGAUACCCGAGAUACCCGACUUACACUAUAAACUCGAUACCCAAGAUAUCCAGCCUACAAAAUAAACUCGGUACCUGAGAUACCCGACCUACACUAUAAACUUGGUACCCGAGGUACCCGACCUACACUAUUAGCUCGGUACCCAAGAUACCCAGCCUACAUAAUAAAUUUGGUACCCAACAUUCACUAUAAGCUCGGUUACCGGACUUACACUAUAACCUCGAUACCCGACCUACACUAUAAGCUCUGUACCCGAGGUACACCUAGAGAUUAAGAAAGUACGAAGGGUACCACAAAUCAAUUGCAAAACGGUCAAAGAAAAAUCUCCAAAGAGUCAAUCAUGAGAAACGCCUCUAUCAAUAUAGAGUUUAUUAGCUGGAGUCACCUAAAUAAGGUUGGCUUACACUGGGUACCCCAGAUGCUCUGUGGGGUACCUGAGGUACACCAUGUAAGGGUGUAAAAAGUCAAAAAAAAAAAAUUUUGUAAGGAAUCUAAAAAAGGCAGAAAAAAUGUCAAGGGAUAGAUGGGCCCCGGGCCCCGAAUCUAAAAAAGAUAGGUUGAAUACGUUUCAAAAAAUAAAAAAUCAGUGAGGAAAUCUCGUGCAACAAAAGAGGAGACAACCGCCUGUCACGCUAGAGAAUCAGCCAAAAGUUUGAUAUUAUGAUAGUUGGGACCACCAGCUUUUCCAGCCACGCCUCCAAAAUUACAACGAAUUUGCAGAGGUAUGCGGGACCACUCCACUACGCCUAGUACGUGAAUACGCCUCAAACUUGCUCUCCACGCCAAUUUUUAAAACGCCUAAGCCACCAUACACAUGAAAAGAAGAAUAUUCUUGACAUGAUAGUAGAGAACACCAAUAAUAUAACGCUAGGUGGCACGGCGACCUGGGGUAUACCGUAUAAAUACUCAGGUUUAAUUUUUAUCAAGUAAGUUAACACACGCACCAGAAAAACUAAGGUUUCUUCAACCCCAAAACCUCCAUUACCGAGAACUUACAAGCUCUCUAACUUGAGAUAACCCAACUCUGGCUUGAGCGUCAGAGUGUAGUAGCCGGCCACCCCCAGCUCUAUCUUUGACCUCUAUUUUUGUUGUUUUCCAGGUUUACGACAAUUUUCACCAGCCCUCGGCACCUGAAGUUAGACCCCCGCCAUAUCCACUUCCAUCUCAAUCCUCCUUCACUUCACAAAAAGAAUAUACAGCCCAUACGCGCCGAACAAGCGAGGCACCCCGCUCGCCCAAAAAAAAAAAAAUUUAUUGUUCUUAACUUGGUUUUGUGGUUUUUUAUUCAUUGACCCAAAAUCAACUGAAAACAAACCUAUUAACAGAAAUUACACAAGCUAAUCCUUGCAGCCUGCAUCAUGGAGCUUCUCCCAAUGAGCAAGUGAGCCUUAAACACUUAUCACUCAGCUCAAACUAAAAUGAAAUUAUUGUGGACAUGUGAAUUAAAAAUAGAUAUAAUAGCAGUUUUCUGAAAGCAAAGUCAAGAUAAGAGAUUAACUCUGCUCCGUAAUUACAUUAAAAAUAACAAACAAUGAAAAACAGAGCUAGAGAAGAACUUACCUGUUCGUUGAGACCAUGUGGGGAAUGUGAGAUAUCUUCUUAGAUUUGGUUUGAGAAACUCCAUCUUCUUCUGAAAGUUCUAACAGUUCCCUAAACCCAGGCCAAUACAAUUGCAACAGAAACUGCAUGCAUUAAGCAACAUCUGAUCAUCUCCUGUUAUUUCAAGAAAAUAAUAACUUAACUGCAACACUGCAUGCUUCAACCAUUAACCUUUUCAAUUUCAACAUUUCUUUUGUCCCCCGCCCGGUGCCCUUUUAGCAAUAUCCUUUUCAACCAAAACCAUAUCCAUUCACAUUCAAAUUCAGAAUCUUGUUAGAAUGAGAGAUGAAUAUUGAAGAAUAGUGACUAUGCAUUUAUAUCCUAUUAUUUGGUCAUUAUUCUCUAUAGUACCAUAGAAAUGAAUAAUUCUAUGAAUCAGAUAAAUCAACCUUCUUCACAAAACCAUGAAACAUUUUUCACGGUGUUCCACAUAGUCCAAAUCAGCAUUGGUGACAAACAUUUGAUGAAGACCCCGCCAAUUAAAAUUUCAGUCCCCAUGUAAUAAAAUUUCUUAUUUUUCUUUUGUACAAAAAUGCAAACACUUAAGAAAAAUAAGAUUUCAUACCUAAAGAAAUUGGGAUUUCUUUUGACCAUGCAAGUUACAAUUUCAGUCCCCAUGUAAUAGGAAAACUUUGUACACAUACUUGUAGCAAAUUAAUAUGUCAUACCUCAUGAUAUUUAUCAUAACCAUCAAUCUUUAGAAACCACAUGCAGACUUGUAAAACUUUUUACGGCCCAAAAUAAUUGGAAAAUUAAAACAUAUUUAAAAAUGAGCGACUAAAUAUUUCAAUGGUGACUAAAAUUACACACCUUGGAAUUCUAAAACUCAAGUACUAAAAUUGCAGCAAUUAAACAAGUUGGGAACUUUAGUGCAAAUGCUUUUUCAAACUCUUCAAUUGCAUAAGUUAGUUAGACUCAACCUUUCUCAAUCUUUUAAUUCACAUAUGAUAGCCAGAUAACACCAGGGAACACUGUAAGUGAAUUGUCAACUGUGACAAAUUUCAGGUAAAAACUGUCAAUUGUAGUUACUUGUGUAAUACAGAGUGUCAACACCAAAUUCCUUCCUGAUACGUUGAAGCAUAUUGAUGCAGCGGAAGCUUAAAGUUCAAAAUAUUCUAUUGAUUCCAGAGAAUGUCGGAAUAAAAGAACAAUUAAACUCACAUUGAUUCAAAAGAAUGCCGUGAAUUUAGAGAUGAAGACUCGUUGAUUCCACAGAAUACCGAGAAUUAACUGAACUCAAAUACUCACAAAAAGAUUUGAAAAUUAAAAAUUUUAUUGAAAUCGAACAUGCCUUCAAAGGCUACAAGAGGAAGCUAUUUAUAGUAGCAGUAAUUAUCCUAAAUCACUAAGAGAAAAUAAAAUUCUAAAUUGAAAAUGAAACAAAAUUCUAAAAUGGAAAGGAAAUUAAAAGUCCUUAAUUAAUUAGGAAACAUAUCCUAGUAUAAAUUCCUAUUCUACAUCAUUCCCCCCAGGAUGGAGAGAAUUUGCCCUCGAAUUCAGAUUAUCAGCAACAACAUCUUCAUCAUGAUCACCUUUGUAAGGAAUAAGAUGCUUGACAUUGAACACGUUGCUGUGCGGAUAUCACUAGGAAGCUUCAGUCUGUAUGCAUUAGGAUUUAUCUUCUCAAUAAUCUCUAACGGUCCAAUUUUCAUAGCAGAAGCUUGUUGUACUCGCCAAUUGAGAACCUAUCUUCGGUUAAGACAGCCUAAACAAGAUCGCCCACUUGAAAUUCUAAAGCUCAACGCUUUUUGUUUGCCACAGUUUUAUAACCUUCGGUCGUUUGCUUCAAAGACUCUUGCGUAGUUUCAUGAAUUUUCUUAAGCUGCUCAAUAAACUCUUCUACUUUACUGCUUUUGCAAACUAAAUCUGGAACUAGAGCCAAGUCGAUGGGAGCUCGUGGAUUAUAUCCGUAAUUCACCUGAAAAGGGCUUAAACCAGUACUGCGCUUAAUUGCACGGUUAUAAGCAAACUCGACUUGAUAUAACUUCUAAUCCCACAUCUUCAGGUUAUCGCCAACUAGACUACGUAGAUGGUUUCUUAAAGAGCGGUUGACAACUUCGGUUUGACCAUUUUUUGUAGGUGGUAAGUAUUGGUUAAUUUUAUAAUCAAACGCUACUGAUGCCAAUGUGCAAGUAUACACAACAAGUAAUAAAGUGAUGAAUAUUCAAGAUCGUCUCCACAAGAAUUGAUGUCACUUGAAAUGCUAUAGCAAUCACAAUAGUGCAAACUAACUUAAGUCUGAAGUUAAUAAACAUAAAGUAGGUUCUAUCGUAAUUGAUGAUUGUGAGAGAAUAAAGAAAAACCAUACCGUAAUGAAAUAAACUAAAUUAAAUGUGUCUAAGAUUCAAUUGAGACUUUGGUAGUUGAAUGAUCAAACUCUCCUUAUGGGCUUACUGCUUUUCAUCAAGUUAACACAAGUUGUUACAGCAAGAGCUGCAGCACUGGGCAGAAUUAAUAUGCAUCCUCAGCAUCGCGUAUUGGAACUCUCAUACCUUUAAAUAUAUUAGCAAUGACCAGUUGCUAAUCUACUUAUGAUAUGGCCUUAUGACCCUUUAGUCUCUCCACCCUAUAAGGUAAGCACCUAUGUCUAGUGUGUCACAAAUCUUAACUUCAAGUAUAGCCCUUAUGGGAUUUAAGAUAAUUUAAUCCAGGAAACUUAAAUUAAGAUCAAGUCAUACUCUAAUAAUAUCCGCUAAGACAUGCCCUCUUGCGGCUCUAUCUUAACUUGAACUAUUAAAUGGGUGGUCAAUCGAAAUAACAGUUAUAUUAACAAUAACUACUAGAGUAAAAUGUUACAGCAAUGACAUAACAACACAUAAGAACAGUCAAGAACCCAUUAGAUUGUUUGUCACCCAACUACGAGCAAAUCUAGUUCAUAUUCUUAAUGAGAAAAACAAACAUUAAUAUAUUGUUCACGGGAUACAUCAGAAUAGUCAAAGAAAUAAGAAAAGUAUAAGUCGAGAACGGCAAAAAGCAAAUCCAAAUAACUCUGUAGGACUCCUCAAUACUGCUGAAGCCAUCCUCUUCAAUUAUGAUCUUCUUCUCUUUUUUUUUUUCUCUAAUGUAUUCAUGAUAAUCCUUUUUUUGCCUCCUUUUUAUGUGGUGCACGCCCUCCUUUUAUAUUGCAAACUAGGGUAAAUAAAAAUCUGUGGGUGUGCAUGAGUUAAAUUAGGAAACAUGCAGAUCACAAAUCUGCAACUGACCCGCGCUUAAGUUUUCUCCCUCAGUGCUCCCAGAUUGCUACAGCACUGAUUGCUCUAACAAUAGCUACAACACUGCAUUAUUCCCGAUUGUGCUUUCUUCUUUUAUGGCCAUCUUCUUUCCUCCUCUUGCUAACCUAAUGUCUCAGCAUCCCUUCAUAAAUUAAGAAUUUCUGAAAACCUACAAUUACGCACAUGUUUUGAGCACAAAUUACUUUAAUUCAAGCAAAACUUAUUAAGACUUAACUAAAAUGAAUUUUUAUGCAAAAUAUAACCAAAAUGUAAUAAAAACACCUUAAAUGAGGAAUUGUCCAAGAGAAUUGUCCUCCUUUCAUUCAAUCUGUGAUUGGUGCCAUAAUAGUACUGAAAUGAGGAAUGAAUUACCUGUAAAAAGAGGCGAAUCCAUGGAAACUUCUGGUGGCGGAUAAAGUAAUUGGCUUAGCCCAAUCUCGAAUAGCAUCCACUUUUGUUUGGUCAACAGAUAUACCAUCCUUCGACACCACAUAUCCCAAAAAUAAUACUUUCUCUGUCAAGAAAAUACACUUGUUUACUGCUGUGUAUAAACUUGCUGCUCUUAAGGUUGAAAUCACUUCUCUCAAAUGUUGUAGAUGUAACUUGUGACUGGUGCUAUAUAUAAGUAUAUCAUCGAAGUAAACAACCACAAACUUUCCAAUGAAAGGGCGAAGAACUUGAUUCAUAACUCGCAUAAAAGUACUCGGAGCAUUGGAUAAGCCAAACAGCAUUACCAACCACUUGUAUAACCCUUUGCAAAUUUUAAAAGCUAUUUUCCAUUCAUCUCUAGGCCGUAUUUGAAUAUGAUGAUAGCCACUUUUCAAAUCAAGUUUGGUAAAAAUUGCUACUGCACUGAGUUGAUCUAAAAAAUCAUUUAAUCGAGGGAUUGAAAAUCGAUAUCGAACGGUAAUUUUAUUGAUAGCUCGACUGUCCACGCACAUCCUCCAAGAACCAUUUUUCUUUAGAGUCAAUAAAGCAGGGACUGCACAUGGACUAAGACUUUCAUGGAUAAAUCUUUUUUCUAGUAACUCUUCCACUUGGCGCCUUAAUUCCUCAUGUUCUGUAGGACUCAUACGAUAAUGAGGUCAAUUUGAUAAUGUAGAACCUGUUACCAAAUCAAUUUGGUGUUGUAUAUCCCGAAGAGGUGGUAAACCCUGUGGUAGCUCAUUGGGGAACAAAUCUUGAAAUUCCUCCAGAAUAGGUGUCAUAGCUUCAAGAAUCUUUGAAUUACCACUACUCUCUUUUCUAAAUAAAAUGUAGACUCUCUUUGUCUCUGCUACAACAUCUAUAAAUUGCUUCUUACCUAACAAAUAAUUACCCAAGUCUUACUGGAGAGUAAACUCCUUGUUAGCUAGGGGAACGAUCUUAGUGUUGUUAAAAAUAAAGUUGUAGAUGUUUCUCUUCCCAUCAUGCACUACGUUUCGAUCAUAUUGCCAAGGUCUACCCAGUAAUAGAUGACAAGCAUCCAUAGCCAAUACAUCACACCAAAUUUUGUCUUUAUAAAUUGUGGAUAAGGAAACUAAGCAACGUUUCGAUACUAUCACUUGAUUUCCUUUCUUUAGCCAUGUGAGCUUGUAUGGAGUUUGAUGAGGUUUUGUCUUUAAAUUUAGAUUUGUUACGGCUUCUUUCGAAAUGACAUUCUCGCAACUGUGCAAGUAGUUUGAAAGAUAUUUUAUUGUAGCCACUUGUCUUGGUCUUGACCUUUAGGAGUGAAGAAUGCGCGCUUCACGAUCAACAUUGGUCCGCUAUCACUAUGUUCUUCAACAGAUUGAGCGCUACCACUACUAUCAAAAGUUGGCUCUACAACGAACUCUUCAAUUUAUUCCUCCUGGUAGUCUUCACUUUUCUCUGUGCCUACAAAUAAGCAUUUACCAUGUUUUCCUCCCUUUUUACAUUUUUUCAUUCGAUGCCCAUUUUCUCCGUAAUUAAAACAGCGUAAUCCCAAACUCGAGGAUUGGGUUUUGCUGGUUUGAAUGAUUUCACUAGGUUUACUAGUUUUAUUUGGAGGAUUUGGAGGAGUGAAAUUAUGGAAUUGGGAAGUCGGGUUUGAAUUAUCACAAACAACACUUCGAGCACACCGAAAGCUUGAGUCAUUAGUAUGUCGACUAAAUUGUUUCUCCAACUGCAAGGCUUGUUUAUUUACCUCUGAAACAGAGUAUGGGUCAAGUAAAUUUAAUUGGUCUUGAAACUGAGAUCGUAAGCUUCUAAUGUAGCGGGAAACCUGUUGUUCUUCUGUCUCUGUCAAGUCAUUGUGUGCCACCAACCAAUGGAAUUCUGUGGUGUAAUCAACCAUUGAUCGAUUACAUUGCCUUAAAUUUUGUAGUUAUUGGUAUAAUAGUUUGGCAUAAUUAUGAGCCAAGAAUGCUCCACGCAAGUGCUUCUUCAACUUUCCCCAAGAAUUAAUCUUCUUUUUGCCUUACCUAAUCCUUGCGAGCUUUGUUUGUUGCCACCAAGCUGCUGCUCUUCCACGAAAUCGAGUUGCAGCAAGUGAAACUAGUUUAUUUUGAGGAACUUCUUUCUAUUCGAAAAAUUCCUCAAUGGCAUUAAUCCAAUCCAAUAAUUCUUCAAGUCAACCACUUCCUUAAAUUCAGAAUGUCAAUUCUCAACCCAGAUUCCCAUCUUUUGUCAUCAAUAGACUCAGCUCUAGGUCGACGUCCAGAGAAUGGGUUAGCAAAGCUUUCACUUGAUUUGUCUUCACAUUCUAGAGUACAAUGCCGUUCGUCAAGUAACUCUGCCAUUCAUGCCAUUUGUGCAGCUAACAUAUCAAUUCUGGCUAUCAUGCUAGCCAGGGCUUCAUCUUUAGAAACAUCUUCUUGAUUGUUAGUUGCAGUAUGAGCAUCACGAGCAUUUCUUGGAGGCAUUUUUUAAAUUUAGGUUUAAAAAGGUAGCGGGGCUAAAAUGAAAGUAAAUAAAACUUUUAGGCCGAAACUGUAAUUAAGCAAAAGUUUUAGAUUUCCGAGGACGGUGGUCGGAAAUGGAGCAAGGAUGGGUGGAUCUGAAAGAUUUUGGAUUGGUAAGUAUGAUGGUUUCUUCGAAAACUGGUGUUUUGGCCGGAAAUUGUAGAUAAAUCCGCGGUUUAGAGGGCUUCGGUUUUCGACGGUUUGAGCAUCGAUCGGCGGUGAGGAAUGGUGGGAAAGGUUCAGUUGAUGGAGAGGAAUGGACUGAUGGUGGUGCUUCUGGCCAAAUCGCGCCGGAAAGUGGUGAACGGAGGUGGCGGCGAUUGCGGCUGUUUUGGCUUUUUUUUGGCGAUCUAUGGCUAAUCGAUAGUGGAAGAUGCUUGGGGUUUGAUGGACGGCGAUUUAUGAUCUGAUUGGUAGUGGUUGCGUCCAGAUAGGUGACAGAAAAUUAAAGUCGCCAGCCUUGGACGGUGGCCGCGAGCUGAAGCUUUUUCUUCUGUUUCAAUUUUUUUUUAAAAGCUAGUUAGAAAAGAGUCCAAGUCAGAUGCCACAUAAUCGUGUGAAGAUAUCAAGCAAUAACCUUGGACACAAAGCAAGAAUCUGUAUUUAAGGAAUGAGAUCAACGAGAUUGUAAAUAUGCGAAGAAUAAUCUCAUGAAAAUAUUGUAUAAUUAAAUGGUGAUUCUUGCCAUGUAAACAUUUAACAUGUAAAGUAUCUAGCCAUGAAUAUAAAUAGCAGAGCUCUGUACAAAGAAUGUGUACAGCAAUAAAAAAGCUAUUCCUUUAAGAAUUUUAUCUUAGUAUCAAAGCAAGUAAGUCGGAAUAAUGACUUCAUCUAGUUAUGUUCAUACCACCAAUUCCGCCACCUAUACAAUACCACAAACCAAUCCCACCACCUUAAAUUUCACCGUCCCAAUCAAGCUAGAUAGACAAAAUUACCUGAUGUGGAAAUCUCAAGUCCUGCCCUCAAUCCAUGGCAAUGAACUUGAAGGCUUCAUAAACAGCACAAAACCUUGCCCAAAAAAAUUUCUGGUAGUUGCUGUAGACGACCAAACUGUAGAAGUGACUGUAAAUCCAGAAUAUGCACUUUGGAAGAAACAUGACCAACUUCUUCUUAGUUGGCUGCUAUCUUCAAUGAAUGAAAGUGUCUUAAGUUCAGUCAUCAGUUGCACCACUUCUUAUGAAAUUUGGAAUGCACUAGAAAGGCUUUUCUCCUCUUAGUUAAAAGCUCGAAUCCUACAACUUAAGAUGCAGCUUUAAACCUAGAAAAAGGGUUCUAUGACUGUUAGUGACUUUUAUUCCAAAAUGAAAAACUUUGCUUACAAUCUCACCACCUCAGGAAAUCCCAUCAUAGAAGAAGACUUAGUUCUCUAUAUUCUUUCAGGCUUGGGAUCAGAAUAUGACCAUGUAGUGGUUAAUAUAACAGCAAGAUCAGACACACUACCUCUUCAAGAAGUGUAUUCACUUCUUUUGAACCAUGAAAGCAGACUUGAUCAAUUGCAUACUGUUGCCAACAUAACUUCUAAUGGGAACAUAUCAGUAAACUAUGCUCAAUCUACUCAAAACCAAAGAAAAUACAAUAGUGGAAGAGGAAACAAUCCAAGAGCUAGAGGUAGAGCAAAAACACCACAAACAUCUGGCAGAGGAAAAUCAAAGCCAACUUGCCAAAUUUAUGGAAAGGUAGGACACAUUGCGUUCAAUUGUUGGCAUCACUUUAAAGAAGACUACGAGCCACAAAGCAAUGAGAAACACCAGAGUCAAGCCACAACUAAUGCUACAAUGAUUGAUUCAGAAAAUGAUCAAGGUUGGUACCUGGAUAGUGGUGUUACAAACCAUGUCACAUAUCAGAUUGAAAAUCUUGAAACGAAAUCUGAAUACAAGGGAAGUGACAAACUUAUGGAUGGUAAUGGUCAUAAGUUAAAAAUAAACUAUAUUGGUAGAUCCUCAUUACCUGUCCCAUAUCAGAAGCCAAUUAUUUUAAAAGAUAUUUUGCAUGUCCCUCAUAUUACAAAAAAUCUCCUUAGCAUCUCUAAAUUAUUAUCUGACAACGACUUAUUUGUUGUUUUCAAGAAAAAUACUUGCCUUAUACAGGACAAGAUGAGGAAGAAAGUCUUGCUUCAAGGACCGACUGAUGGAGGAUUGUAUCUGGUGAAAACAUCCUGCAAGACACCUGAAUCCAGAGUCAAAAGUCCCCUUGCAACUUCUCUUUUUGCUGCUUUAAAUAAACCUGUGUCGUCACACAGCGAGUCAAAGUCUUCUAAGAGUCGAAGUCUAGAAUCAACUUGUAAUGGAUUCAAUAAAAUAGAUACAUUACAUCAAAAUUUGGUCACCCUAGUGUUCAAACAUUAAAUGACAUAUUAAUGUCCUGUGAUGUAUUUAGUAACAUCAAUAAAAUUUCCGUUCCUCAAUUUUGUGCAGCAUGCCAAUUUGGAAAAAGUCAUAGACUAAGCCAUACAAACUCAGCAACAAAAACAAAGGAACCACUUGAAUUAUUGCAUCUUGACCUUUGGGGACCAUCACCAAUAGCCUCUAGAAACAACUAUAGGUACUACUUAAGCAUUAUAGAUGACUAUUCUAGAUUUACAUGGAUUUAUCCAUUGGCUGCUAAAUCAGAAACUUUUUCCACCUUCCAAGUGUUUAAGAAAAUGAUUGAAACACAACUUGAAAAGAAAAUUAAAACCUUACAAACAGAUUGGGGGGUGAAUUUAGAUCCUUCGUACCAUUUCUCAAAGAAAAUGAAAUUUUAUUUAGUUCAUGUCCUCACUCUCAUCACCAAAAUGGAAUGGUGGAAAGAAAACAUAGGCAUAUAGUAGAAACUGGCCUAACCUUACUAGCACAAGCCUCAAUACCUACAAAGUAUUGGUGGCAAGCCUUUGAAACAGCCACAUUCUUAAUAAAUAGGAUGCCGACAUUAGUACUCAAUCGAAAAUCCCCAUAUGAGAUAAUCUAUAAUCAAAAGCCUGAUUACAAAUUCAUGAAGGUUUUCGGUUGUGCAUGCUUUCCCCACUUAAGGCCAUACAAUUAACAUAAAUUAGAUUUUCGCACCGCUAAAUGUGUCUUUAUAGGAUAUAGCUCUCAACACAAAGGAUACAUGUGCUUACACAGUAGUGGGAGAGUUUAUAUAGCAGUAUAUGUGGUCUUUAAUAAGUCUGAAUUUCCAUUUCAAAAUGACAAAGCAUUUCAACCUACUGUAAGUGAGAAAAAUAUAGUCCAAUGUCCAUAUUAUGCUUAAAUCCUAACAGUGCCACAAGUUUCUACUUCAGGAUGUGCCUCAGCUAUAUCUCCACCAGCAGUUGUUCAAGAAGCAGGCUCCAACCUUCAUUGUCCAACAGACCGAAAGCACCACAUCCUUUCACCAAACCAAGAGACCAACACUACAGAACCUAAAACACCAUAACCAAACAUGAAAAACUCAGAAACAACAGCAGAAAGUACCCAAAACACUGCAGCUACAGAGUCAAUAAGCAAGCCAAAAACACUUCUCCCUAGUCACCCUAUGAUCACAAGAGCCAAGUCUGGGAUAUAUAAACCCAAAAUUUACAUAGCAAAAAGAUUAGCAAGAGAGAAAAUUGACACUCCAGCAAGUGUAGAAGACGCAUUGAAAAAUAAAAAAAUGGGAGACAGCCAUGAGGGAAGAGUUUGAAGCACUUCAGAAAAACAGAACCUGGGAAUUGGUUCCACCCUCUCGAGAUCAAAAGGUAGUAGGAAAUAAAUGGGUUUACAAGGUGAAGUAUAAUCCAGAUAGCAUUGUGGCAAGGUAUAAAGUGAGACUUGUGGCUAAAGGGUUUCAUCAAACAGCGGGCAUAAAUUUUAACGAAACCUUCAGUCUAGUGGCCAAAUCACCAACUAUCAUAAUUGUGUUGAACCUAGCUGUUAUGAACAACUGGGAUAUCAAACAAGUGGACAUGAAUAAUGCAUUCUUGCAUGGUGAACUAUGUGAAGAAGUUUUUAUAAGUCAACCGAAAGGCUUCGAGGACAAAAGAAAGCCACAAUAUAUUUGCAAGUUAAAAAAGGCACUCUAUGGCCUCAAACAGACUCCAAGGGCCUGGUAUAAUAAGCUCAGUUUAGCCCUUAAAGACUGGGGGUUCAAAAACUCAAUAUCAGACACCUCACUAUCUUUUUAUGAACAAAGAUGGAGAUACAGUGCUGCUACUUGUGUAUGUAGAUGACAUACUACUCACAAGAAGUAAUAGUAGGAUAAUUGACGAUGUGAUUCAGAAGCUGAAUAAAAGCUUCUCUCUAAAGGAUCUUGGCUCACUAAAAUACUUCUUGGGAAUUUAAGUAGAAAGGAUUGCUGAGGGAAUGCAUCUAUCGCAAGGGAAAUACAUCACUGACCUCCUAAAACGAACAGGAAUGGAAAAUUGCAAAAGCCUGCCUACACCAAUGAGCACAAGUACCAAGUUGAGAAAGGAAUGAGGGAAAGCCUUCAGUGACAAUAUCUUGUACAUGAGUGUAAUUGGAGGCAUACAAUAUGCUACCUUAACAAGGCCUGAAAUAACAUAUGCAGUGAACACGCUAAGUCAAUAUUUAGAAGCACCUAAACAAACUCACUGGGAGGGGUGUAAGAGAAUUCUCAGAUACUUGAAAGGAACCUUAAAUUAUGGCCUACACUUCACACCAAAAGGAAAACCAGGACUGAUGUGUUUCACUGAUACAGAUUGGGCCAGUGAUCAAGAUGACAGACGGUCUACUGGUGGUUACUGCACCUUCCUUGGUGGUAAUCUAGUCUCAUGGAGAUCGAAAAAAUAGAAGGUAGUGGCACGCUCUAGCACUGAAUCAGAAUAUAGGUCCCUUGUUGAUACAAGUGCUGAAAUCACAUGGAUAUGUUCUUUACUAGUAGAACUUGGAAUGAAGCCAAAACAAAGACUAGUAAUCUAGUGUGAUAACAAAGUGCAGCAUCCCUUGCCAGCAAUCCAGUAUUUCAUGCCUGAACUAAACACAUCGAAAUUGACGUACAUUUCGUCAGAGAAAAAAUUGCAAAUGGUAAACAAGAAGUGAGAUAUGUACUGACAAAGGAACAAGUAGCAGAUGUUUUGACAAAACCCUUGAGCUGUGAUCGUUUCAGACUUUUAAGAGACAAGCUUAAAGUCCCAAACAGACAGUUAAGCUUGAAGGGGGGAGUUAGAAAAGAGUCCAAGUCAGAUGCCACAUAAUCGUGUGAAGUUGUCAAGCAAUAACCUUGGACACAAAGCAAGAAUUUGUAUUCAAGGAAGGAGAUCAACGAGAUUGUAAAUAUGAGAAGACUAAUAUAAUUGUAUAAUUAGGAGACCACACCAAAGCAUACCGAAUUGAAUGUGCCUUUUCACAGCCAUUUUACAAGCUUUGAAGGUUCACCACAAAUGCUUUUUCCAACCCGUGAACAUGAUGCACCCGAGAGAUGCAAGCUAUGGAAUUGUUACUACAGCAAGCAUUGGAGCAUUUGUUAAAAGAAGGAAGUUUAUGAAAAUAUGCCUUUGGAUACCCAUCUUCAGGAAUCAAUUCAUCCGUAACAACAAUUUUCAAGAUUAUCAACUGCUUUAAGUUCAUCGACAUCACAGAGAUCUUCAACUAAAAUAGAGCGGAUCCGGCCAUCACUAUCCCUUCUACUGCUCUUUUCCUUUAGAGAAUGCUUGAAGUACAGAAUGCGUGUAAGGGAUUCUUAUUCAAGGUCCAAUGAUCAAACCUUGCACAAUAACAACAGAGGUAGUAGUUCCUUCGCCAGCCUAAUCCUUAGUCUCAGGAAUGUCCUCAACAGGGUACUCGAAAUCAACCUAAAAAUUAAGAAUGAGUUGGAAAACUGUUUAUGGCCCUAAAGAACUUGAAAAUCGGAAAAGAUUACGAAUGAGUGACUAAA
rnacentral:lncRNA from 1 species